UUUUUUUUUUUUGUGAACUUGGUAUAGAUCAUGUGAUUAGAUAAAAAUUAAUUAAAUUUUAAUUUAAUUGGUAUAAUAUUGUUAUUGGCAUAAAAAGAGGAAAAAAUAUUUAUUUUCACAAAUUCAACCACUUUAAUAAAAUUUAAAAUUUUUCUCUUACAUCCAAAAAGAUUUUCAAAUAUUUUUAUUACUUUUAAUAAUAAUAUUUAAAAAUAUUAUAUUAUAUUAUUUUUCAUCCAUGAGUGAGUGAAACAAUAUUAUUUGGAUAUAUUUGAAGUAAAUUCUAGAUAUUCUUGUUUUAAAUAAUCCCAACAAAGUAAAGACGGAGUUAGGACUUUAAGAAAUCCAAUUAGGUUGGUUUAAAAAUAUAGCUUUUUUGCAAUGAUUAAAUUUUGAUGUUUUUAAUUCCUUUUUAUGUUUUUUUUUGAUCAUUCGUGUCUUUUUUGAAGUGGCAAUGCUUUAAGAAAAGGUGAAGAUUUCAAUAUUAAUAUAAAAAUUUUAAUAAUAUACUUAAGAUUAAUUAAAAAACCUAAACAUCAAAUAAUCUUCUCGAUUCAUUUUUAAAGAAAUAAAAAUUUCACUAUAUUCGAAAUAUAAAAUAAAAAUAUGUAUUUAAUACACCAAACAAAAUUUAUAAAAUAACGACUCAAUUAUCGUAUUUCAUUUUUAACAAUAUUAGAUCAGGUCUGGAACUAAAUUAAAAUUUUAUAAUUAUUUAUUUUAUAUAAAAUAACUGGAAUUAUUUUAUUUAUUUGUAAGCUCUUCCACGAAAGCUUUAAUGUUGUUAUAUGAAGUCCCUCCUUCCUCCACAGCUUCUUUAGCCAAAUCCUUCCAUUUCUUGGCAUUCUUUCUAAUUUCUUCACCUCCCAUCACCAUUUCCAAGCAUCUUUUUAUCUCACCAGCUUCAACCAUUCCAUCUUCAUUCUGUCUUAGACGUACACCUGUUUUCCAUACAUCUUGGACGAGCUUGGAAUUGGUUCCUUGGUCUACCCAUUGAGGAAAUGUCACCAUAGGUACCCCCGAAACCAAGCUUUCGAACGUCGAGUUCCACCCACUGUGUGUUAAAAAACAUCCGAUCGAUGGGUGGGAAAGAACUUGCACUUGUGAGCACCAUGGCACUAUCAUCCCUAUCUUUUUCAGUUCAUUUAACCUACUCAAUGAAUCCUUUUCUUGUUCAUCAGUACUUUCCCUUAUCACCCACAAAAAUGGACGCCCAGUUUCAAGCAACCCCUUCGCGAGUAGCUCCAUUUGUGGUUUAGCCAAUGUGGAAAGGCUCCCAAAUGCGACAUAAAUGACUGAUGUUUCAGGCUUUGUGUUGAGCCAUUCCAUUUCUUUAUGCUCUUUUGUGACCUUGAAAAGAUCACCUCCCAUGGAUGUUUCAGCAAGGUUUGGCAUUAGUGGUCCGAUUCCGACCAUACUGUACCACUUGUCAGCCGCUUUUAUGGCUUCAGUUUCUAAUAGGUCGAACGUGUUAACUAAAACUCUGGGGUUGGUCUCUUGGUCAAGAACUUGUACAUGUUCUUUCAUGGUUAAGAGUGGCAUAGCUUGUGGAUUGGACGGGAUGAAAAAGGAAGGUAAAUCAUGGCGAGAAAGCGGUGGCAGCCCCGGCAUCUGAACUGUAAACGUGGGGUCAUCGAUGUUUUUGGUAAUGAUCUCAUCGUAUCCCUUGAAGUAAUGGUAACAGAUGUUCAAAAGAGAAGCAGGUUGGAACCAGAGGAGGGUGGCUGGGAUGUGAAACUCACGAGCCACCGUUGCCACCCAAGGGAGAAGAGUACAGUAAACAAUGGAAGUGAACCUAGUGCCUUGAUCAGCAAGAAACUCUCUCAAGCAUUGAGUACCGUGACGCUUUGUCUCGGACAGGUAAUGAUUCGUGUCACCGGAAAGUUGAAAGGCAUGGUCAUAGCCGUCGGAGUAAUAGGCGUAGGACAAGCCAUGGACAGGUGAAGCUUUGUUGAAUUGGUGAAUCAUGGAAGAAACCGACAUCAACGUGACGUGGACACCACUGUUGAUGAGUUUAUUUGCAAAUUGAAGGGAAGGGUUAAUGUGGCCUUGAGAAGCGAAAGUUACUAAGAGGACUUGGGGGGGUUGUUGUUGUUGGUCCGCCAUUGAAGGACAGAUGAUGAGUCGGUAUUCUAGUUAUAACUUGACAGUUAAUGGAAUGAGGAUAAUUGCAGAGGCUGCUAUGGGUUCUUAUACACACCAAAAAAAGAAGAAGUAAUAAUUGGAGUUGAAAAUGUGACGUUUGCGGUGACGCCCCGCUCAAUUGAAAAUGCUUUUUAAGUUAAAAUAGUCUGUACAUAUAUAUAUAUACACGAAAGGUUUCGAAGAUUGGAUUAUGCAUUUCAUUCAUCCCCUGGCAUUUGUGAAAAGUACGAGGAUACGACGAUUCACAAGUUUGUAGCCAAGUUUAGUGAUAAUCGCGUGUAUCCUCUAUUAUUUCUUCAUUCUUAAAAUAUUUAUCAUAUAAAAAUGUAAAAUUAAAAUAAUUUUACACAAAUAUAUUCAUAGAGAUAAUACAUAUAAAAUAGAGAAUUUGAUUGUGCAACAAUAUUUAUUAUUAUGAACCUUACCAAUGGACAAGUUAUGGGAUUAGAAUCUUUAAGAGGCUGCUAUGGUUUUCUUUUUAUAAUACACAAUUGGAAUUGAGAAUUGACGUUUGCGAUGAUGCAGCCGCCGGGCAAUGCCUUCUGUAAAGUGGGUGAUGCUGAAAUACACACAAUCCAAUCUGAUUCAGAAUUGGUGAAAUUCAAUGUUAUUACUAACUUCAAACUUUAUAUUUUUAAAUUACAACAUAAUCCACACCAAACCACUGCUCACUUAAGUACACAACUUUCUAAUUCACUUCAAUUUCAAAUUUUAUAAAUUAUAGGGAUUAAAUUUGAUAAAAUUAGGACAUAAAUACUAAAUUUACAAUCUAAGGAUAGUGCAGGGACUAAUAACAGAAUUUAACUUCUCUGAAUUAAUAUUUCGAGGGUAAAACACUUCUCUAGUCUCUCUUAAUUUUGAAACUGUCAAUUAGUCUCUCUUUCGUCAAUUGUGUAUAAUUUUGAUAUAGUAACAAAUUUAUCCCUCAAUGUUUACAUAUAUAUAUAUAUAUUUUUAAUUUGAGUUUGAUUUUAAAAAAUUCAACAAAUUUAAUCUCAAACAUUUACAUAUUUGCAAAAAUAUUGUGGGUUAAAUUUAUUAAAUUAUGAUCAAAUUGAUAGAAUGUGUAAAUUAUCAGAGCUAAAUUUGUUAUUAUACUAGUCAAAUUCAUGUAAAAUUGUUUAAAAAUAUUAUUUCUUUUAUUAAUUGUCUUUAGUUGCUUACUUUCGAAAUUGACAGGAUUAAAUUGUUCUCAUCUUUUUUUUCGAGGGAUCAAUUUGUUUAAUAUUAAAAUUAAGAGGACCGGAGCGUAUGUUAACAUAUCCUUCAACAGAAACACGCCACGUAUUGAAACGUCGGUUCUAGCAAGUUGGAAAAGGCGGGCGGGUUCUACACUCCUCUAACAACCAACCACCAUUUUCAAUCCUACUUAGUUUAGCGUUCCAAGUAACUCUCCCUCCCACUCUUACCUUUCAAGCCCGUAAAGUCAUGAGCUUGGUUCUGGAACCUCCGCCUCCACCUCUAUCCAAAUCCAAAACCGGUGCUCCGCUCAAACGCUGCUUCACCUCCAUCCGCACCGCGUUAUCUCCGCCAAACCAUCGAUUCAGAGCCUCUCGUUUUCCACUUCAUCCGACUUCCAGCUCUAGACCAACUGUUACUGUGGUUCUAAAGACGGAGAAGGAAAAAAAUGCGGUGACGGAGCAAAAAGACCCGCCGGUAAGGAUUGUGGCAGUGGUCGGCCAAGGAAGCGUCAGCCCAUUAAAAUGCACCCCCUGGGAGGAGGUUAUGAUGCACACCGUAAGUGUUACUAUUUUUUACUUGAUAUUUUCUUAAAAUUCAUUUUUUUUUUCGUUCUCAUUUUACUUUUUGUUUAAGAUUUUGAAAGUUAUUUGGAAAAUCUUUUUUUUUCAUAUAGAUUUAAAAUUUCGACAAAAAAAUAAAGAAAAAAAGAGUCUAUGAUUUUACAAUUUUACUAACAUUGAUAGUAAAUUAAUUUAGUGUAGCAAAACUUGCAAUUGAACCUAAAAAGCUAUCAGUUUAUUUUGUAGUGUUGCAUUUACAUUAAUGGACUUUUUUAUUGAGCAAGUGGAAUUUUGAUAGUGCUAUUUUGGGAAUUAUAUAUGGUUUCUUGAUUGUUUAUGCUACUGAUCAGGCAAAAAGAUUGAAAUGGGUGGAUGAAGGAUAUGAAAUGGUUGUUUUCCCUGACAAUUUCCAUCAAUCUAAUGAUCAAACAGCCAUGGAUCUGCAAAAGGAAUUGGCUUGUGCAGAUAUUUUGCUAGUUGUAGCUGUUACUAAUCAAGACUCGGUGAAAUGGAUUGGGACAAAUAGCGGAAACAUCCCUAACGUAAUCUGCUUUGAAUCCGAUCCGGGUUUGGUUAACAAAUUAGGAGGCUCUUAUGUCCACAGUGAAAUGAAAGGAAGUAUCUUUGACAAAUUGGUGGGAAUUUCUCAACUGAAGAAAACAGAUGAAACAAAGGAAGUUGUGCAAACCGUAUCGGAGGCAUGGGACCGGUGUAAUUCUGACGAUAUAAGGUUCUGUUUGUUGGUUAUUAUCAAUGCUUAUAUUCAGCCAGUCCCGGUCUUGAAGAACUUGAGAUCAAAGGGCUUUUCAACCCUGAACUGUAUGGUGAAGAAUUGUGGACCUCAGAUAUUGGAUUGUCUUAUGGAUCCGAAUUGUAGGAAAGCACUUCAAUGCUUGAACAAAUGCAGCCCUGUAGAUCAGGUGUGUAAUUAUCGGUGUAUUGCUUCAUUUGAAAGUCCGAAACUAGAAGCAUUUUCUCUGUGUGUUCUUCAGAAAAACAAUUGUCUUGAUUUAGAUGCGAAGAUCCCCGAAAAGCCGUACGUGCAGCCUAUGCUUAAGUUUCGAGGGAAGGACUUGUGCCAUGAAACCGCCAAAGAUUUAUUUGUUGGUUGGUUGGGGAGUUUGGAUUGGAGUUGGCGAGUCGUAGCAGGACAGAACCCAGCCUAUGAUCAGUUCCCAUGUCAGUACCAGCUAUUUUACAGGGGAAAGGCGAAGGGAUCGUUUUGGUACGAGCCAGUUUUUCAGGUUAAAACUUUAGAAGGAGAAUUGGUUUGGAGGCGUCGUAAAUAUCGAGUCAAGAGAGCAAACGUUCCAGGGACAUUUUACUUCAGUGUCUUGGAUAACGGGGUUGUUUCGAACGAGUAUUGGACAAUCGUAGAUGUAUCAGAAGAUUUUAGCUGGGGUCUGUUCCAUUACCAUGGGGCAGCACGAGUGGCCGGACAAUCGUAUACUGGAGCAGUGCUGGUUAGUCCGGAUGGGACAUACCCUAAACAGACACAGAACAACAGAUUAUCUUCAGCUUUGGAGAAAUGUGGAAUUAAGGAAUGGGAAUUAUAUACGGUUGAUAACUGUGCAUGCCAAGAUCCUCCAUUAGGAAUUCCAGAAGGUUCAAGUUUACAUUCAAUGGUUGAUGCAAAAGACCAGAGCUGGAGCUCAGUUUAAGGAUGGCCUAAUGUUCAUGAAUUCCUAGAGUGAAUAGGUGAGUUUCGAAGUUAGAAUGUGACAUUUUGAUUUUUUCAUUUUUAAUACCUGAAACUAAAUUUUAAAGUCUUUCACUAACAGUUAAUAGAGGCGUUCCAUAUAGAACCACCCUCCAAAAAUAGGCGUAUGCCGCUAAGAGCCGCGAGCACACGGUAUUCUUUAGUAAAAGGCGAAAGAAUAGUUCGCUUUGUGCUCACCGCACGGCUCCUUGAUUUUUAUAUCUCCAUUAGCUCUUUAAUUUAUGGAAGUGGGUUGGGAUGCUGUUUUAUGUAUUGAGGCGAUGUGGGAUCCUUUUCCUCCAAUUUCGACUGUUUUUAGGGUUUAGGGGCCUGCAGUUCUCCACUCCUCUGCUAAAUUUCACACUUUUCUAUAACGUUUUCCUCUCAUUUUUUAAUCCUCUAAUUUUAUAAGCUAAUAUGGUACAAUAAAUUCCUAAUCCUAUGUUUGUUUUUAUUGGAUUUUUGUCUUGUUUGAAUAAAUAUAUCUCCUACUUUUCUUUGAAAUAUUUAGAUUUUGAAAUGAAUGUAAUCUUUUACUUAAAUUAUUUUGUUAAUUUAAUAAAAUGUUUCUCAGAAAUAAAUAAAUAAAAGAAUUUAAACCUAUAAAUUUCAGCAAAGUUUGCCUGUACGCCAUUUCCUCCGGGAUAAUAUAAUUUUUUGCACUUAAACUUGACAAUUAAAUUUAUUUUAGUGUAUUUUUUUUAAUUUAUUUUGAUACUUAAACUUGAGUUAGAUUCAUUUUGGUUCCUAAAUUUAAAAAAAUAUAUAAGUGUGAUGAUUUGGCACAAUCUCAUUGUGCCACAUCAUUACUUGAAAAUUAAAAAAUAUAAAAAAUUUUAAAUAAUGACGUGGUAUAAUUGCUAGAUCAAUAAUAAUCAAUUAAUUAAUUAAUUAAAAUUUUAUAAACAAUUUAUUAAAUUGGUUCAACCACUUUGUUCGAACUAAUAUAUCAGUCUAUUUUUAGUUCAAUAGGCCCAGCUAAUCAGUCUUGAAUCUAAUUGACAAGUUCAAGUAUAAAAAUGAAUAAAAAAUAUAUAAAUACUAAAAUAGACUUAAUUAUUAAGUUAAAUGGCUAAAAAUUGUAUUAUCCCUAAGAAUUAACAUCUUUAGUGCCAAAGAAGCAAAUGUCAGUGUUAACUAUUAAGUGAUAAAUGAUUUUUAUUGGUAUUAAAUUUCCCUGGACAACCAACCCUUCUAUCCGUUGAUAUAAGAAGGCAAAUGCGAGCUAGUAUACGUAAUUUGUAAAAAUAUGGUUCUGUAGUCUUAGCCUAUAGGGAUGGGUGUAUGGAGGCUAACAUAUCCAUGGCAUUAGCAGUUUGUGAAGCUUUUUCAUGGCUAAAGGAGAAGAGGGUCGCUGCUGUCAUCGUAGAAACGUAUCAUUCAAGUUGUAUAAGUUUGUAAUAAUCCAACAGAAGACGAAUUUGAAUUGGGUCUAGUGGCUAAUAAUGAUUGUUUUGGAUUGUAAAAUACUAUACUAAACUAAAGAACAAUUUGAAAAAAUUGAAUUUACUUAGAAAUCUUUUUAGUAUUCAUAUCUGCCUUCAUCAAUUAAACAUAUGAUGUUUAUAUAUUUGAAAAUGAAUAAUUGCUCCUAACCAAUUAUACACCAGACUCAGCAACUGACUAAUAACAAACUAACAAUCCCUAAUCUCUUUACUCUAACAUUCAUCCAGCUUCUCAAGGGGUAAGACUUGAAGUAAACUUCGAAACCGAGCAAAAUUAGAGAAGGAUAAUGGUUUAGUAAGAAUAUCUGCAACCUGGUCACAUGCUGGUACUUCACCAACCAUAAAGGAGCCACUAGCCACAUUUUCACGAACAAAAAAUAAGUCAAGUUCGACAUGUUUAAAUUUGGAGUGUAACAUUGGAUUAGCAGUAACAGCAACUGUACUGGAAUUAUCACACCAAAUAGCAGGAGGAUCAGUAGAACCGAUUUGUAAUUCUGUAAGUAGAGAAACUAGCCCCGCAACAUCACUAGUAGUUGUAGCCAACUUCUAUAUUCAGCCUCAGCUGUAGAGCAAGAAACAACUUGCUGCUUUUUAGAGACAGGUGUAUGACCAAAGUAGACGUAAUAGCCUGUAGUGGACCGACGGUCAUCAAAAUCUAGGCCUCAGUUGGCAUCUGCAUAACCCACUAAAGAUUGUUUGUCAGAUCGACAAAACACUAGCCCAUAACUAAUAGUGCCAUGUAAAUACCUCAAUAUACGUUUUAACGCUACCAUAUGAAUUGUAGUAGGGGCAUGCAUGAAUUGACACACAUGAUUUACUGCAUAUGCAAUAUCUGGCCGGGUUAAAACCACGUAUUGAAGAGCUCCAGCAAGACUUCUAUAUUCAGUAGGGUCAGCAAGACGAGUACCCUCAUCUUUAGAUAAUGUAGAAGAACAAAUCAUUGGCGUAUGAACACUUUUUUGCAUUAGCCGGAGAACACCUGUCAAGAAGAUCCUGAAUGUAUUUGCACUGACAUAAGUGGAGACUACUAGUAGAUGAUCAACUGACUUUAACACCUAAAAAAUAAUGAAGAUCAUCCAAAUCCUUUAGGGAAAAUUCGUUAUGCAGUUGCUGAACAAAACAGUUUAUCUCAUCAGUCAAGCUUCCAGUAAUAAUAAUACCAUCCACAUAAAUCAAGACAUAAAUGAUGGACUUGGUUGCAACUUUAACAAACAAGGAAGCAUCAGAUUUAGCCAAGAAAAAUCCAUUAGAGAUAAGAAAUUGCUUUAAUUUAUCAAACUAGGCACGUGGAGCUUUGUAACAACCUAAUUUUUAGUGGUGUCAGAAAUAGUGCUUCGAGACUACUAAAAUCUGACAAGUGAGCUCAUAAAUUUUAUUAGUUAGUGUUUAUGAGCUAAUUGAGAAUUUAAGAAAGCUAAGAAUUAGUGAUUUGUGUUUUAGAAGGAAUUAUUAGGUUAAGUGAUUUUGAAAACGAGGUAUUGAGACCUUGAUUUCAUAAAUCGAGUUGUAAAUAUUUUUAUAAAUAUUUACGGAGUAUUACUGAGAUAGUAGUAAAAUUUCGUUAGAAAAUUUUAACGUUUUCAUAAUUAAUUAAAUAAAAAGGACUAAAUUGUAAAAAAACUAUAAAUUUGGGGUAAAUCUGUAAUUUCAAAAAUUGAAGGGUAUAAAUUGUAACGUGGAAUGAGGCUGAAAUAUGUGCUAAUGGAUGAAUAAUUUUAUAUUUUAGAUUAAGAGCCCAAAGAAAAUCAUGGAAAAGAGAAAUUAUUUGAAUAGUUCCUCAGCUACAACAAAUUUUACAAAUUAGCCAAGGUAAGUUCGUAUGGUUAAACUUUAAUGUUAAAUGUUAAAUUGAUAAAUGAUAUUAUGUAAUUGUUCAUGUUAUUUGUUGAAAAUAAAAUUAUUGUUAAAAUCACAAAAUUGAAGUGAAUUUUCAAAGUGAACGAGACGCGGGAUUGGGUACAAUCGUUCAGUAUAAAAGAGGAAUUGACAGCAAAUUAUCCAAGUAAACCGGGGUUCAGCAUUUGUUGCAAACUCCCAUGUUUGCUUUCAUUUUAGUUCUCAUGAGCUUCAGUUAACUCAUAUGAGUUUCUGUUUAACCCUAAUGGGUUUUUGUUUAGCUCUUUCGAGCUUCAGUUUAACCAUAUGGGUUUCCGUUCAGCUCCUAUGAGCUUCCGUUCAACCUUCAUGGGUUUCUGUUUAGCACUCAUGUGCUUCUGUUCAGCCUUCAAGCCUCUAUAUACGAUGUACUCAUACCCAUAAGACGUUCUCCGAUUUGACAAAAGUUGGUAAGUGACAUUAGGAAUUCAUGAUUGAAGAUUUAAAGUUAUUAUUGAUAAUGAUCUGAAAUAAGUGAAUUCAUCGAUUGAAGUUGUGUUUGGUAGGAAUUAUAUAUUGAAUGAUUUAUUUGAAUAAUUUGUUAUAGUAUGUUCGGUAAGAUUUAUGUUUAAAGCCAACGAACUUAAUAAGCUUCAUUAAGCUUACUCGUGUUGUUUAAUGUUCUUUGUAGAUUAGCAUGAGAUCGGUAGAUCAGAUCAACACAUCAAGCUACACUAUCCAGACUACUCUGGUAGAUUUUGUUGUACAUUUUAUGGUUUAUAUGGCAUGUAUAAGGAUGGAUUAAAAAGGGUUAAACUUGUAUGUAUAAUUAUGAUUGUUAGUUAAGUACAUAUGAGUGUUUGUAUGUAUGUAAAUAAAAUUAGGCUUUGGUAAAUAAUGAAUGAAGUUAGUUUGUGAAAUUUAAGCAUUUGAUUUAUGGGUCAAUUUAUUAUGUCAAAUACAUGUUUUGGUUUGAAUUGGUUGCUUGGUUGAGAGAUAUUUGUGUAUUUCAAUGUUGAGUGCAGGUGGAUAAUAAAAGGGUGAGAAAAAUGGCCUUAAAAUGGCCUAGUUUCGUCCACAUGGGCAGAGACACGGGCGUACGUCUCAGCCGUGUGUCACACACGGCUUGGUGUAUGGGUGUGUAGUUUGGCCGUGUAUCCCCUGCACCUUAAAAUCACAAAAUAGAAUCCGUGUGACCCAUGCACUUCACACACGGCCUAACACACGGGCAUGUGGUUAGCCAUGUGACCCAAGUCAGCAGCUACCCUAAUUUGGAAACAACCUAAGACACAGACGUGUCUCCUAGCCGUGUGAGCCACACGGUUGGCCACCCUGCUCUUAAGAAAAAUUUUAAGAUUUUGGGAAAAAUUUCCUAAGUGCUCGAUUUAGUUCCGAUUCACUUCUAUUGUGUAUUUUGGGCCUCGAUGACCCAUCUAAGGGAAAAUAUGAGUGUAUUAUGAUUGAUUCUUAAUAUGAGUAAUAAAGUUGUGAAAUGUCUAUAUUUAAUUCGUAAAGUUCGGUAAUGCUCCGCAACCCUAUUUUGGCGACGGAUAAAGGUUAGGGGUAUUACAUUUAUUGGUAUUAGAGCUUCGGUUAGCCGAUUCUCGAAAUGAAUAUUAUGUACAAAGUGUCUGAAAAUACAUGCCAUAUAAAUCUGUGAUAGUGUGAUAUGUACAAUCUGGUCUAAUAUUUGUUUUUCUUAUAGAUUGUAAAGAUGUCUGAUAGAUCUGAACAUGUUGAACGUGAUGAAGCUAAUAGCAGAGUACAAAUAUCUGAACACGAGACAAGUAGUAGUGUUUCAAUUUUUUCGAUGCAAGAACAACAACUCAAAAAUAUGUUUUAUGGGUUUAUGAACAAAUGGUUUAAUGAGAUGAUGUAAGAAAGAAAUCAGGCUCAGCAACCUCCCCCCUCUACUGUUCGAUUGUACAUCCACCUCUUUUAGUAACUGAAUUCAGUAAACGUACUUCAGUAGAAAAACUCAGAAAAUUUGGAGCCGAAGAUUUCAGGGCAGGACAGAUGAUGACCCGGUCAAAUUUGAGAAUUGGCUUCAAAAUACAAUAAGAGUUUUUAGAGAAAUGGCUUGUUCCCUAGAUGAUUAUUUGAUAUAUGUUGUUUCUUUAUUAAAAGAGGAAGCUUAUAAUUGGUAGAUGGCUAUAGAAGUUGUGGUACCGGAAGAGAAAAUUUCUUGGGAAUUCUUUCAGAAUGAAUUUAAAAAGAAAUAUGUUGGCAAGAGGUAUAUGGAUAAAAAGAAAAGAGAAUUUAUCGAUCUAUGACAAGAAAAUCGAUCAGUAGCUGAAUAUAAGAGAGAAUUUAUAUAUCUCAGAAAAUAUGCUCGUGAAAUUGUACCAACCGAAGAGGAAAUAUGUAUCCGUUUUGAGGAGGGAUUAAAUGAUGAAAUUAGAAUGUUGAUUGAGGGUACAGAAAUACGGGAAUUUGUUGUUCUGUCAGAUCAUGCUCAGAAAAUGGAAGAAGUAUAUAACAGAAAAAUGUAACGAGAGAGACGAAAUAAAGAAUCUUACAAAAGAAGCUCCUCCAAAUCAUUUUCAACAUUUCCGACUAAAAAACCUAGAGAGGAGUCCAAUCGAGCCACUUCAAUGUCUAAGUGAUCAAAUAAAAACAUGGCGACUCAACAAGAUUUUGGAGUAACUAUUAGACCUACAGCUAGUGUGGGUAGUGUACAGAAUGUCCCUAGAAUUAAAUGCAAAUAUUAUGGAAAGUAUCAUCCGGGUGAAUGUAGAGGAAAAAUGGGAGCUUGUUAUAAAUGCGGAGCCACUGACCAUUUCAUUCGAGACUGUCCUCAAUGCAAAAAGAAGAAGAUGAACAAAAAGAAAAAUAAUUAGCCACUUUCCAAAGAAGUAAACGUUCAGGCCAAAGUAGUGCUACUGGGGCUACCCGUUCGAAUAUGAGAGAUAAAGCUGUUUGGUUAGAGCCUAAGGCACCUACACGUGCUUAUGCUAUCCGAGCUAGAAAGGAAGCAACAACUCCAGUCGUAAUUGCUGGAAUUUUCUAUCUUUUCGAUAUUACUGUGUAUGCAUUGAUUGACUCUGGGUCUACACAUUCUUAUGUUUGCACUGCAUUAGCAUCAGAAAAGAAAUUGUUUGUUGAACCCACUGAUUAUGAUGUUCAAGUCACUAAUCCAUUAGGUCAAAGUGUGAUAGUUAAUGUAAUGUGUCGAAAUUGUCCACUAAAAGUGAAAGGCUGUGAAUUCCCUGCUAAAUUGAUAUUGUUACCCUUUCAAGAAUUCGAUGUUAUUCUGGGAAUGGAUUGGUUAACAAAGCAUGAUGCAGUAGUAAACUGUAAAGAGAAAAGGAUUAAUCUGAAAGGUUAGACAGGAAAAGUGAUUACUGUUGAGUCUGCUAAUCCGAAAGAAAUUGUUAGAAUUAUUUCAGCAUUUUUAGCCUAGAAAUUAAUGCGAAAAGGUAACGAGGCAUUUUUAGCCUGUAUUCUUGAUACUCGGGGUUCUAAAUCAAAGUUAGAACAGUUACCAGUUGUUAAUGAAUAUUGAUGUAUUUUUUGAGGAAUUACCUGAUUUACCACCUAAUUGUGAAUUGAGUUUGUAAUUGAUGUGGUUUCGGAAACAGCUCCAAUAUCAGUAACACCAUACCGUAUGGCACCAGCUGAGUUAAAAGAAUUAAAGUCACAGUUGUAAGAUUUAUUAGACAAAGGAUUCAUUAGACCGAGUAUGUCUCCUUAGGGUGCACCUGUCUUAUUUGUGAAAAAGAAAGAUGGUUCUUUGAGACUGUGUAUAGACUACAGACAUUUGGACAAGGUCACAAUUAAAAAUAAAUACCAUUUGCCACAUAUUGACGAUUUUUUGAUCAGCUGAAUGAUGCUGCAGUAUUUUCAAAGAUAGACCUCAAAUUCGGGUAUUAUUAGUUGAAAGUUAAAGAAUGUGAUGUGCCAAAGACUGCUUUCAGAACUCGGUAUGGUCAUUAUGAAUUUCUAAUAAUGUCAUUCGGCUUGACUAAUGCGCCUGCUGCUUUCAUGGAUUUAAUGAAUCAAAUUUUUCAACCUUAUUUAGAUAGAUUUAUGGUUGUGUUUAUCGAUGAUAUAUUGAUCUAUUCUAAGACAGAAUCGCAACACUUAAGAAUUGUGCUACAGAUUUUGAGAGAAAAACAGUUGUAUGCAAAGUUUAAUAAAUGUGAAUUUUGGCUAUACAAGGUUAGAUUUCUAGGCUAUAUUGUGGCAGCUGAAGGGAUUCGUGUGGAUUCGAGCAAAGUAUCUGCAGUGGUGAAUUGGAAAAUUCCAAAAAAUAUAAUAGAAGUGCAAAGUUUUCAGGAUUAGUAAGAUACUAUUGACGUUUUGUCAAGAAUUUUUUGAUGAUUGCUUCAUUGUUAACCUGACUAUUACAGAAGAAUAUUGAAUUUGUGUGGUCUAAUGAGUGUCAACAGAGUUUUGAUCAUUUGAAGAAGAUGUUAACAGAGGCUCUAAUUUUAACCCAGCCAGAAUCGAGUAUACCAUAUGUUAUUUAUAACGACGCGUCUCUAAAUGGUUUGGGUUGUGUAUUAAUGUAGUCGGGAAAAGUACUAGCCAAUGCUUUUCGGCAGUUAAAACCGCACGAGAGAAAUUAUCCUUCACAUGAUCUUGAGUUAGCUGCAAUUGUGUUUGCUUUAAAAAUCUAGAUACACUAUUUAUAUAGUGAGAAAUGCUAUGUGUAUAUAGAUCACAAGAGUUUGAAGUAUUUGAUGACUCAGAAAGAGAUGAACUUGAGAUAGAGACAAUGGUUAGAGUUGCUCAAAGAUUAUGAUUUGGUUAUUGAUUAUCACCCAAGAAAGGCUAAUGUAGUUGCAGAUGCACUUAGUCAAAAAUCGUCACUAUUUGCACUUCGGGGGAUGAACGCUCAUUUAUUUCUUAAUGAAGAUGAUUCUGUAUUAGCAGAAUUGAGAGCAAAACCUGUGUUUCUUCAGCGAAUUCGAGAGUUGCAAGAUGAUGAUCCAAAAUUAGUGUUGAAGAGACAGAUGGUUCGGGACAAUUUGAGUUCAGAGUAUACCAUUGAUGAUAGUGGUAUGUUGUAUUAUCGUAACACAAUUUAUGUUCCGAAUAAUUCAGACUUGAAAAAUGACAUUCUUUCCGAAGCUCACAGUAGUAUGUAUUCUAUUCAUCCGGGUAUCACGAGAAUAUAUUGUAAUUUAAAAAAGAUGUAUUGGUGGCCUAGUAUGAAAUGGGAAAUCUAUGAGUUUGUUGAAAUAUGUCUGAUUUGUCAAUACGUCAAAGCAGAACAUCAGGUACCAACAGGUUUGUUGCAACCUGUCAUGAUUCCUAAAUGGAAGUAGGAGCAUGUCACUAGGGAUUUUGUAUCUGGAUUGCCUAUGAAUCAAAGAAAGAAAGAUUUGAUCUGAGUGAUUAUGGAUAGAUUGACUAAGUCAGCACAUUUUAUUUUAGUCAGAACAGAUUUUUCACUCGAGAAGUUAGCAGAAUUAUAUAUGUCUGAGAUUGUAAUACUGUAAUGACCCAAAAUUUACGGGCAUCGGAAAAGUACAAUAUCGAGCCUCCGUCUUAGUAAAUCGAGUUUGAAAAUAAUUAUUAAAAAUAUUUAUGAGUCUAGUGAUGUAAUUAAUUAGGUUUAAAUUAGGUGAAUUUAGCUUAAUUUAGAGUAAUUAGUAAAAAGGACUGAAUUGAAUAAGGUGUAAAAGUUCAAUUGUAAAGUAAAAGAAAAUAAAAGGGACUAAAUAGGUAAAUAAGCUAAUGGCUUAAGAUGAGGCUGCAAUACAUGGAAAAAUCUUAGAUUUUUCUUGAUUUAUGUUAUAAAAAUAUUAUUUAAUUAAAAUAUUAUAAAUUAUAUUAAUUAAAGUUAAGAUAUUAUAUUAUAGGAAAUAAAUAAAAUAAAGAUAAUUGCAUGGUAAUAAAAUAUACAUGUGUAAUAAUCAUAUUUGUACAAUUGUAAAUUAAAUACUUAAUUAUUUUUUAUUUAAGUAAAAAGAUAUUUAUUAUUUAUUAUAAUUAUUAAGUUAAAAGAUAUUUAUUAAUUAAAUAAUUAUAUUAUAAGAUUUUUUUAUGAUAAAUAAAUUAAAAUUUUGCCAAAUGGAUGGUGAUGAUAUUGUUCAAAUGUACAAAAAUAUAUGUGUACAAUUGUAGUAUUUAUACUUGUUAUUAAAUAGAUAUUUAUUAUAGUGUAUUAUUAUUAUUAAUUUAUUAAUUUAUAAUUUAUAUUAAUUAUAUUAUGAGAUUUUUAUAGGAUGAAUAAAUAAAAAUAUGACAAAUGUAUGAUGAUGGAAUAGUACAUGUGUAAAAUAUGUAUUUAAACAUUUGUAUUAUAAUGAUAUAUUUUCUUAAAUUUUAAGUAAAGAUAUUUGUAUAUUAUAUAUUAAAUUAUUAUAUUAAUAAAAAUCUAUAUUAGUUAAAUGUUAAAAGAAUAUAAAGUAAAUAAUAAAAAGAAACAAAGCAAAAGGAAAAAAGAAAGAAAGCAGAUAACAUUUCGAAAGUAGCAGGAAGAAAGAAAGAAAGAAAAAUAAAAGGAAAAAUUAGGAUUUUAAAGUUUGAAGUUUAAAUAGGUAAGUCAAUUAAGUCUUUUUCUUUGUGAUUUUGAUGUUUUAGAAGCUUUAGAACAAAGUUUUGUUGAAAUUAAGUUGAGGUUUUAGAAGUUCUUAGGAUUUUUAACGUAGUUUAUGUUGAACAAAAUGAUGAAUUAGAGGUUUAAUUGAAUGAAUUUCAAGUUAGAAUUGAUUAAAGGAUUAAAUUGUAAAAGAAGCUAUAAGUUUUGUGAUAGGGGGAUUAAAUUGAAAGAAAUUUUAAAUUAGGGUUUUAUUAUGAACACUUGAUGGUUAAGUUGAAUUUGAUAGGAAUUUGAAUAGAGAUGAAAUAUAAAUUGAGUUAGAAAAGUAAAUGGGUUAAUUAGGAUUAAAUUGGAAUAAGGGUAUAAAUUGAAUAGAAAUUCAAUUAUUAUUAUCAAUUAGUGUUGUAAUUAAUAGUAUAAAUUAUUAUUUUCGUAGCUAACAAGGAAUUCGAGGCAUUGGCAUACAAAGGAAAGGAGAAAGCUAUCGAUGACUAAAACAAGAAAUUCACGAUUUGUAUUACUAUAAUUCGAGUUAUUUUUAUUAAAUGUUAAAUUUUUAAUUAUAUGUAUGGUAAGUAAAUUAUGAGGUAAGUAUUAUUAUGGAAUUAAAAAGGAAAUUGAAUUGAUGAUGGAUAAGUAUUGAUAUUGAAUUGUAUAUUAAUGAAAAGUGAAAUUGAAUUGAUUCGUAAAUGAAUUGAAAGUGAUAUUGAAUUGAAAAAGUGAACCGAAUACUCUAUUAACUAGUCGGGCUGAGUCGGAUAUAGUUGGCAUGCCAUAGGACUGGAAGAGUUCAAGGAUUCUUCAACCUUGAGUCGAUGGACACUGGGUGUCACUAUUUUACUUCGGAUAGAUUCAAUGAGGUACUGGGUACCACUUUACUUCGGCUAGGCCGAUGAGACACUGGGUGUCACUAUAUUGCUUCGAACUAUCCGAUGAUGCACUGGGUGCCAUUUUGGUGUAUUUGGUUGGAUCUGAGUAUUUGCCAAUGCCUGAGUUUUGUUAAUAGGGUAAAUAAACUGAAAAGGGAAAAACAGAAUAGAAUGAGGAAUUUGUACUUAUAGAGUGAAAUGUGAAAUGAAGAUGAGAAAAUGUGAUUUAGAUAAAUGAACCAAAGGCUCAAAUGGCUAAUAGUACUUGAAUGUGAUAUUCAUGAUAUUGAGUUGAUAAUUAGUUAAAAUGAAUAGCAAUAGAUAUAAAAUAAAGUUAAAGUGUGAAUUUGUACUAUAUGUGAGUAUAUGUUCUAUAGCUAAAUAUGUAAAGUUCAUUUGGUUAUUUAUAAUUUGAAUUAUAGUAAUAUCACUGAGUAUGAAAUACUCAGCGUACGGUUGUUUCUGUGCGUAGGUCAGUAGGAGUACAGAGUCUCGGUCUAGCAUCUAGAGCAAUCCUGACUCUAGCACAAAAACUUGGUGAUGUAUUCUUCUUUUGGUAAAAGUGGCAUGUACAUAGAUAUUGUUUUGGUCACUUAACAACGCUAUAUGAUUCUAGUUAUAAAGUAUGGAUGGUUUGUAAUGUUUUGAACUAAGUUUUAAGUGAAAUGGUAAAUAGUAUAUUAUAAAAUUUAGCAUUAAGGUUGAAUGGAAAAUAAAUCAAGUUAUUAGUCAAUUUGAAUGAUAUUAUGAAUGUUUAAUUAUUAAAUUACUAUGUGAAUGAAUUGGUUAUGAUAUAAGUGUAUUUAAGUAUAAAUUGUUUUUAGUUGUGGUUUGAAAAUUUCAGGGUAGGUUAGAUGUUUAUAAAGGGGUUAUAUUGAGUUAAAAAAAAUUACGAAAAAUUUUUGAAGCACCCGAACAAGUCCCAAUUUGCUCUUAUUAUGUAUUUUUGGGCUUCGAGGAUCCAUUAAAGGGACUUAAUGAUUAAAUUAUACUAUGUAUGUUAUUUUAUUUUUGAAUUAUUCGUAAAUUUUUUGAUAUGUCUGGUAAUGCUCCGUAACCCUGAUUCGGUGACAGUUUAGGGUUAGGGGGUGUUACAAAUACUACAUGGGAUUCCAACAUCUAUUAUUUCAGAUCAAGAUCGAAGGUUUACAUCCAGAUUUUGGAAUAAACUACAAGAAGCUUUGGGUACUAAGUUAAAUUUCAGCAUAGCAUUUCAUCCUCCUAUUGACGGACAAUCAGAACGAGUGAUUUAGAUUUUAGAGGACAUGUUGAGAUGUUGUAUAUUCGAGUUUGAAAAUAGAUAGGAAAGGUAUUUACCUUUACCUGAAUUUGCUUAUAAUAAUAGUUACCAAUGCAGCAUAAAAAUUACACAAUUUGAAGCUCUUUAUGGAAGAAAAUAUAAGACUCCAUUGUUUUGGUCUGAAUUGAGUGAAUCCAAGUUAGUUGGAGUCGACUUGAUCCGAGAAACUGAAGAAAAAAUUUAAAUCAUUCAAGAUAGUUUGAAAGCUACUUCAUACUGUCAGAAAUCAUAUGCAGAUUUAAAAAGAAGAGAUAUAUAAUUUUCGGUUGGCAACCAAGUGUUUUUAAAAGUCUCAUCGUGGAAGAAAGUAUUACGGUUUGCCAGAAAAGGGAAAUUGAGUCCAAGAUUUAUUGGACCGUAUGAGGUUAUUGAAAGAAUUGGUCCUAUGGCUUAUGGGUUAGCUCUACCUUCAGAAUUUGAGAAGAUUCAUAACGUGUUCCAUGUGUCGAUGUUAAGAUGGUACAGAUCAGAUCCUUCACACACGAUUCCUCAUAGUGAAUUUGAAAUACGACCGGAUAUGACGUACUUGGAAGAGUCGAUAAAGAUUUUAGCUCGAGAAGUUAAAGAAUUACAGAAUAAACGAGUACCAUUAGUUAAAGUGUUGUGGCAUCAUCAUGGUUCAGAGGACACAACCUGCGAAACAGAAGAAUCAAUGAAAUUACACGAACUUAUUUUCAGGUAAUAAAUUUCGAGGACAAAAUUUCCUAAAUGGGGGAGAGUUGUAACAGCCUAAUUUUCAAUGGUGUCAAAAAUAUUGGUUUGAGACUACUAAAAUCUGACAAGUGAGCUCGUAAAUUUUAUUAGUUAGAGUUUAUGAGCUAAUUAAGAAUUUAAGAAAGCUAAGAAUUAGUGAUUUGUGUUUUAGAAGGAAUUAUUAGGUUAAGUGAUUUUGAAAAUGAGGUAUCGAGACCUUGAUUUCAUAAAUUUAGUCGUAAAUAUUGUUAUAAAUAUUUAUGGAGUAUUAUUGAGCUAGUAUUAAAAUUUCGUUAGAAAAUUUUAAUAUUUGAUAGUUAAUUAAAUAAAAAGGACUAAAUUGUAAAAUAUGCAAAAAAAUGCUAAAGUGAUUAGAUAGCUCAAAUAAUAAAUAAGAAGGAUUUAAAGAGCAAUUUGGCCAAAUUACAAAGGCUGGACGGUAGGGAUAUAGAAAUUAGUAAGGAUAUAAUGUGAACUAAGGGUAAAAUUAGAAAUUUCGCAAAUUAACUAAAUAAAAUAAUAACUAAAUUGAAAUUCUAAACAAAUCUUCAUAUUUCUCCAGCCAAAAACAACCAUUGAAGAAUUCUUCCAAGCUGGUUUUUCAUGUUUCUACUCCAAGUGAGUUCAUUUCUUGUCUAUUUCUUGAAAUUUUUAUGUUUUUGAGACUUUUACAACUAGGUCCAACUAUAUGUUUCAUUUGUUUUUUAUUUCAUGGGUAAUUUUGAAAGUUACCAUAUAUGAGUGUUGUAUGUUUAUGAUGAAUUAACAUGGAUUUGAAACUUUAAUUUUAUUAUAUGAUGAUUUUAUUAAGUAAUUUUGAUAAAUAUUGAUUUUAGGACUAAAUUUGAAAAAGUUGAGAAUUAGGGUUUGGUAUUGAAAUUCUAAAUUAAAAAGGUUGUAUGGUAGCCUAAAAUAAUUAGAUAAAGUGCUAAUUGAGAAAAAAAAUAGAUCAGUUGAUGAGUUUAUUGAUGAGGGACUAAAUUGUAAAAAAACUAUAAAAGUUAGGGUAAAUGUGUAAUUUCAAAAAUUGAAGGGUAUAAAUUGUAAAGUGAAAUAAGGCUGAAAUAUGUGCUAAUGGAUGAAUAAUUUUAUAUUUUAUAUCAAGAGCCCAAAGAAAAUCGUGGAAAAGAGAAAUUAUCUGAAUAGUUCCUGAACUACAACAAAUUUUACAAAUUAACCUGAUAAGUUCGUAUGGUUAAACUUUAAUGUUAAAUGUUAAAUGUUAAAUGUUAAAUUGAUAAAUGAUAUUAUGUAAUUGUUCAUGUUAUUUGUUGAAAAUAAAAUUAUUGUUAAAAUCACAAAAUUGAAGUGAAUUUUCAAAGUGAAUGGGACGCGGGAUUGAGUACAUUCGUUUAGUACAAAAGAGAAAUUGACGACAAAUUACCCAAGUAAAUCGGGGUUCAGCAUUUGUUGUGAACUCCCGUGUUUGCUUUCAAUUUAGCUUUCAUGAGCUUCAGUUAACUCAUAUGAUUUUCUGUUUAACCCUAAUGAGUUUCCAUUUAGUUCUUUUGAGCUUUAGUUUGACCCUUAUGGGUUUCCGUUCAGCUCCUAUAAGCUUCCGUUCAACCCUCAUGGGUUUUUAUUUAGCACUUAUCUACUUUUGUGCAGCCUUCGAGCUUCUGUAUACAAUGUACUCAUGCCUGUAAGAUGUUCUCCGAUUUGACAAAAGUUGGUAAGAGAUAUUGGGAAUUCAUGAUUGAAGAUUUAAAGUUAUUAUUGAUAAUGAUCUGAAAUAAGUGAAUUCAUCGAUUGAAGUUGUGUUUGAAAGGAAUUAUAUAUUGAAUGAUUUAUUUGAAUAAUUUGUUAUAGUAUGUUCAGUAAGAUUUAUGUUUAAAGCUAACGAACUUACUAAGCUUCAUUAAGCUUACUCGUAUUGUUUAAUGUUCUUUGUAGAUUAGCGUGGGACCGGUGGAUCGAAUCAACACAUCAAGCUACACUAUCCAGACCACUCUGGUAGAUUUUUUUGUACAUUUUAUAGUUUAUAUGGCAUGUAUAAGGAUGGAUUAAAAAGGGUUAAACUUGUAUGUAUAAUUAUGAUUGUUAGUUAAGUAUACAUGAGUGUUUGUAUGUAUAUAAAUAAAAGUAGGCUUUGGUAAAUAAUGAGUGAAGUUAGAUUGUCAAAUUUAAACAUUUGCGUUAUAGGUCAAUUUAUUAUGUUAAAUACAUGUUUUGGUUUGAAUUGGUUUCUUGGUUUCAAUGUUGAGUGCAAGUGGAUAAUAAAAGGGUGAGAAAAAUAGCCUAUUUUUGUCCACAUGAGCAGAGACACGAGUGUCUGUCUCAGUCGUGUGUGACACACUUCCUGGAGCAUGGGCGUGUAGUUUGGCCGUGUGUCCCCUGCACCUUAAAAUUAUAAAAUAAAAUGCCUAGGUUUUUGCACACGGCCUAGCACACAGGUGUAUGAUUUGGCCGUGUGACUCCUGCACCUCACGCACAGCCUAGCACACGUGCCCAAGUCAGUAGCUACCCUAAUUUGGACAGGGGCAUGUCUCCUGGCCGUGUGAGCCACAAGGUUGGCCACACAGGCUUGUGUCCCCUGCUCUUAAGAAAGAUUUUAAGAUUUUGGGAAAAUUUUCUUAAGUGUUUGAUUUAGUUUUGAUUCACUUCUAUUGUGUAUUUUGGGCCUCAAGGACCCAUCUAAGGGAAAAUAUGAAUGUAUUAUGAUUGAUUCUUAAUAUGUGUAAUAAAGUUGUGAAAUAUCUGUAUUUAGUUCGUAAAGUCUAGUAAUGCUUCAUAACCCUAUUCUGACGACGGAUAAGGGUUAAGGGUGUUACAAGCUUGUCGUAAUUCAUACAAUGCCUUUGUUAGACGACACUCCAAAGCCUCACCAUUUACCCCAUAUUUAACAUAACUUGGCAGUUGCUGCAUAAACACUUCGUCAGUGAGAUCUCCAUUUAAGAAGGCAUUGUUUACAUCGACUUGAUGGAGUUGCCAACUAUUUGUUACGGCAAUAGAUAGUAUGGUUUGGGUAGUCGCAGGUUUGACUACCGAAGUAAAUGUUUCCUUGAAGUCACAUCCAGGUACCUGGGAACACCCUUUUGCCACCAAUCGUGCCUUUCGGCGAUCAAUCGUCCCAUCAGGAAUUUUCUUGACUUUGAAAAGCCAUUUGCACCCAAUUUGUUUUCGACCAUAAGGUAAAGACACAAGUUUCCAUAUAGAAUUAGCCAUUAAAGCACCAUAUUCAACUUGAACUACCAAUUUCCAUUCCUUAUGAGUAAGAGCCUCCUCAACAGUUCGUGGCUCAAUAUCAAUAGCCUCAACUAACAAAAUUUUAGGUUUAAAAAUUCUUUCCUUAGACCGAGUAACCAUAGUAUGAGUAUUUCCCGGAAGAACAUAAGAAGAAUUAGCAGACUUGGUGAUUGGGUCGGACAGAUUAGCUUCAGCCGAUGGAACAUCAAAAUGGUUAGAUCUAGAUUCAAUUGAUGAAUCAACUGAAACAAAUUGUAUUGGACUACACGUAGCUAGCGGAUCAACUAAAACAGAUUGCACAGGAUUGCCAGUCGGAGUAGAAUGUAAAAUGAGUGACAAUGUAAUGGUUUCUCUUAGUUCGACAGUGAAUCGAUCAGAGGGUGGCUGAACUACAAGAACAUAAGUAGUGACAAAUGCAUGAGACUUAACGGUGUCCAAAGUAGGCCAAGAAAACAAGAAUCAACACUCAUAAAAAAUAACAUGCCGAAAGAUAAUAAUCUUACCAUUCGGUGUGAGACAGUGAUAGCCCUUAUGUUGAGAGCUAUAUCCUAAAAACGUGCAUAGUUGUGAUCGAAACUCUAGCUUAUGAUGCAUGAAUGAACGUAAAUACAGAAAGCAACAACAGCCAAAAACCCUUAAAUGAUCAUAGGUCGGUUCAUGACCAUUAAGAGCCUAAUAUGGAUACUAACCUUUUAGGAUUAAAGUAGGCAGUCAAUUGAUAAGAUGAACAGCACUGCAAAAUGCAUACCCUCAGUAAUCCAUAAGUAGAUUUGCUUGGGCUAAGAGUGUAAUACCAGUUUCCACAAUGUGCCUGUGUUUACACUUAGCAAAAUCGUUCUGUUCGGAUGUAUGAGGACAUGAAAGAUGAUGAAGAAUCCCAUGAUCUGCCAAAAUUGAUGUAAAAGCAUGAUACUUAAUGCCCCAAUCACUUUGGAAUUUUUUAAUACACUUCCCGAACUGAGUGAGAACCAUUUUUUGAAACUAAAGAAAAUAUUCAACCGUUUGAUAUUUUCUUUUAAUGAGAUAAAUCCAAGUAAAUCGGCUGCACAUGUCAAUAAACGAAACAUAGUACAAAUUACUCACACAAGCAACAGAUGUCGGUCCCCACAAAUCAGAGACAACCAAGUCAAAUAAUUCCAUUUAUUCAGAAGUAAAUUGAGCAAAGGGCAAUUUAUAUGAUUUCCUUUUCUGAUAGGCAACACAAAUAUUAUCUAGAUUUUUCCUAUUAUAAGCAAUGUGACACUUAUCAAGAACCAUUUUAACAGUUGAGGUAGAAGGAUGUCCAAGUCUUUUAUGCCACAAUGUAAAAACAUCAUUAUCUGAAGAACUAUCGUAAACCCUGGUGUUGUGAAUAGCAGGUACUAUAUCAAAUGGAACCGACAGAUCAGCCGAAAAUUGAUAAAGACCAUCACGAGCUUGUCCCGUAGAAAAAUUUCCUGUGUUUGGGCAUCCUUAAUAACAUAAUAAGACGGAUAAAAUUGAAAAAAAAUUAUUGUCAUGAGCAAACUGAGAAACAGACAAAAGAUUCUUUCAGAUACUCGGUACACAUAAGACAUUAGAAAGAUAUAAUAAUUUCUUCUUCGUGGGCAAGACAGAAUUUCCAAUAUAUGAGAUUUUAGUGGGAAUGCCGUUACCCAUUAAAAUAGAAGAAUUACUUGAGUAUGGGGUAGACUCAUUCAAACCAGUAGUAUUCUGAAAAACACGGUGUAUAGCCCCUGAAUCCCGAUACUAUGAUGAAUUUCCAACGGGAAGGGGAACAUAUGAAUCAUCAAAAUUAGAACCGUACUUAGUGGAAUUAGCAUUGGAUCCGGAAGUAGCCAAAUAGUUGGACAGAUUAAAACCGGGAAUACGAGGUAACCUAAUACACUGCGAAGAAUCAAAAUCAAUUACACGUGCCAUUGGUUUAGUCUUCUGCGGAACACCGGACCCACCAUUUGGUAAAGAAGGUGUGUAGCUUUCAAGGCCAACAUAAUUAAUAUUCGGCCCACUAGAAGGUUGACCACCAUUAUUGUUCGGCCCAUGUUCAGGCUAACCAUUAGUGGCAUGCUACGCAGCAAAUUUCAACCCACCAGAGGACAAUCCACCAAGAUCAUUGGGCCCGUAGUGCGGCCUACUGCAGGUGACGCAUGAGAAGGACCAACAGAUGGAGCACAGGCAUGGGCAUAAGUAGCAGACGCUGGCCUAAAAUUGUACCCCAAUUCACGCAGUACGCUAGCGCCAUGUGGACCAGGCAGAUGUGAGCCACCACCAGGCCUGCUUAUGCGGCCUGCAUCAGAGAAAUAAUUAGGGCCUGCAUCCACAAAAUUAGGGUUAAAGGGAUUAUAAUCCCAAACAUGCAGCAGACCAUUGAAAUAAGAUUGCUGUGACGGCCACCUUCCCUAAGAGUCUGAAAAUGGCGCCGAUGAAUGUUUCGUUGGGCCACCAAACUGUUUAGGAGCACCAUUAGACCAAGCAAACUUUUCACUUCGAAAAUGUUGGCCAUCAUCAAAAGAGAAACGUCCCAUGGGUGAAGGAGAUAGGCCGUCGUAGUCUCGAUUAUAACAGUAGUAGCAUCGUUGAGCUAGAUGACCGGAGCGACUGCAAAUUUGGCAUUGAACCCGUGGCCGAAAGCCACACCCACGAGAACUAGAUGAAGGACGGCCGCCGUCAUGAGUAGGAUCGGCCACCGUCGUGUUCAAUGGUACCUCAACGAUAUUUUGAAACAAAAGUGGCUCAGAGGAGAAAGACGCCAGCGUUAUCAGGGCGUCAAAGUCUGAUGAAAGUCCGGUGAGAAUAACCUCCACCUUUUUGGCCUCCGAGACGAUAGAUCUAGACGCCUCCAAUAGAGCGCAGAUAUUUUGUAUCUUGGCAAUGUAUUCUUUUACUGUUAAUGCUCAUUUAAUUUCUUAAUUCUUGAUUCUUGAGAGCUUCGCACCAGUCGCAGCAGCAAAAAUCGAUUAGCAGUGCUCCAUAUAUCACAAGCUGUUUUGGCAGAGAUAAAAUAUGACAGUAACGAUGUACUAACGGUAGAAAGUAACCAUGAUGCAAGUAACUUAUCUUGCUGGGUGACGAAAGAUGCAUCAGGAUUUGGAAUCAGAGUUCCAUUUGGAGAGGUCACAAAACGAGCCGGAAUAGGUAACGUACCAUCUAGAAACCCUUGCAAUUUAUGGCCUUCUAUGAUCAACCUUACAUGCUGUUGUCACUGCACAUAAUUUCCAUCAUCUAACUUCACUGUAUCGUGACGAGGGAUUGGACCAGACGAGAACCAAAAAAAGAACCAGCGGAAGUAGAUUCGGUGGAAUUUGCCAUGGAUUCAGUAGAGAGAAGGAGGCCCUAGGAAGUUGGCGACUAAUACCAUGUAAAAUACUAUACUAAACCAAAGAACAAUUUGACAAAAAUUGAAUUUACUUAGAAAUUUGCUUAGUAUUCAUAUCUGCCUUCAUCAAUUACACAUAUGAUGUUUAUAUAUUUGAAAAUGAAUAACUACUCUUAACCAAUUAUACACCAGACUCAGUAACUGAUUGAUAACAAACUAACAGUCCCUAAUCUCUUUACUCUAAUAUGGAUCAAGACAGUUUUCUGAUUUUAACAAAUGGAACAGCUCAUAACUUUGCUUCAUGCCAAGUGUUUUGAACAUUCUUAUUUCGAAUACUCUUUUGGUGAAUUUUAACGAAGCUAAUAGAUAUAAAAACAGGUGUAUAGAAUAAGUUUGUUGGCUCGAGUUAAUCAUCAUAACUCUUAAUUCAACCUUUGAUAUUUGUAACAACUUAUCAUUUUCCCAAUUCCCAAUACUUAAACUUAUUCACAUAAAUUACCUUUAACCAAACUUGUCCACCCGUAUUUUCCACUCUUAUAUGGAGCAGUCAUAUAAUUCUAAAAUUAUAUAUAAAUAUAUAUACUUUGUGUAAUUCUAAAGUAUCACUCUUCAAAUAUUUCAUAUGUAAGCUAAAUCUCACAUGAAAAACAUUAAAAAAGUUGCAGCAGAAAUCGUUUACUAUUUUUAAAGCCUAAUGCUUAAACCUGGGUCACGUGAAAUUCAGGAAGUCGACAGUAUGCUACAUGUUCAAUGUUCAUCAUUAUGGUUACUGUGUACUAAUGUUCAAUUUCCACUACGACCACUUACCCAACAUCUUUUUCUCUUUUCUUUUCUUAAAUUUCAACUUAAAAAAGAAAAAAAGGAAAAAAAAGAAACCCACUCCCCAGACCCACAGAAAGAGAAAGGCCAUGUCGACAUCUUAGUCAUGGGUAUAUGGCAAAGGCAUGAAAUGUUUAGUUAAAUUCUAUUAUUAGUAGUUUAUGUAGUACGCAAGUUAUGGUUUUAAUUAUUAUAUUUUAAUGUGAUGAUUUUUAUUUAUAUUUUCUGAUUUUUAAAAUUUUAAUUUUAACGAAUAAAAUUGUUAAAUUUAUUAAUUUAAAUUUGCUAUUUUUAAAAUUAUAUAUUACAACCACAUUAUCAUCACGUGUAACACUAGAUCUAUCUAUGGUCCGGCCCAAAGGCCUACCCAAAAAGUGAGAAGAUUUUGGUGAAAAUACAUGCCCAGAAAAUGGGCUUGAAAAAAAAUAAGGCUUGUUUAGAAAAUAGGUCAAGCCUCCAGUAAGAAUUUUUUAACCUGAGCUUGGCCCAAAUAUGCAAAAAAAAAACUGUUGUUUUUUUACUGUUUUGUUACUAUUUUUCUUUUUUUCUUUUUUUUUGCUAUUUUGCUAUCAUUCACUAUUAUGUUGCUACUAUUUUGUUGUUAUUGUUUGGAUAUUGUAUAACUCUUGUUUUAUUGUUAAUUUUGUUAAGAUUUUAGAGGCAUUUUCUUGAGUUGCAUCUAUCUUAGUGUUAUAUAUAUUUUUAAAAUUUAUUUUAAAUUUAUUGGGAAACGUUUAUUUUAAUAUUUUUAGUAUUUUAUAUGUAUUAUAUUUAAAAAAUAUAAAUUAAUAUGGACGGGGCGGGCUAGGUUUUAGCAGUUUUAUUUGAGCCAGGGUUGGACAAAAUUUUAGACUCAUUUUUUAGGCUAGGCCUGAGCAUAGCAAAUGAGACUAAAAUUUUGGUUGGGCCCGACCCAGCCCAUGGACACUUUUAUGGAACACCAUGUUAGCUUUCUACUUUUACAUAUUACUCACAGAAAAGUUAGUUAGUAGAUUUAACUAUUGUUAUUUGUGUCAAGAUUAAAAUUUCAAAUAUUGAAAUGUAUGAGGACUUAGAAUGAUUCGCUAUCAGAACAUGGACUAAAUCUACGACCUUACACAUUAUUCAAGAUUAAUAGGAUUAAUCAAAUAAGUUAAACCACUACCAUUUUGAAUCAAACCUAAAAUUUUAAUUUUCAAAAAGUUCGAGGAUAAAAUUCACUAUUUUAAAAAAUACAAUAAUUAAAAUUAACUAAAAUAAAAUAUAUGAAUUAAAUCGCAAACUUAAAAAAAGAAAAUAAUAACAGAAUUUGAACUAAAUGUUUUGUGAGCAAAAUUUAUGAAUGUUGGAUAGGUAAGUGAUAAAACUAGUAUUAUUUUACAUAAAUUGAAUCUUAAAUUGUUAGGCCAUUUUUUAUGCAAUAUUUGUUAGUGUAAGUUAUUAUUGCAUAUUAUCUUGCUUAAUUCCUUUUAAGUUUGUCGUUUAGUAGCUCCUUUUUCCUUUUAUUUACUUGUGAUGGAAAUUAAAUUAUCAAAUCUUUUGAUGUAAAAAAUAAUUUAUUCUAUAUCACUUAAAUAUUGAAUUAAUUGUGGUAUUAUAUUCAAUUUCAAUCUUUUUAAUAGAAAAAAUACUUUUUUUUUAUAUUACGAUUAUAUUUAAAAUAAAUUAUGUUGCAUUUAAUUGGUUGAAUCUUAAUUUAUUUGAUGCCAUUAUUAUAAUAAUAAUAAUGUAGAAGAUAAAUUAAAUUGAAUGUAUUUGGACACUUGUUAUUUUUGAUAUUUAAGAGUUUAGAAAGUUAUGAUUGGAAGUAAACCUUAUAUUUAUAUAAAUUUUAAUUUAUUAAUAAUAAAUAUGAAGUAAUGUAGGUUUAGCAAAGUGUUUAAAUUAAAAUGGGUGCUCUUUGUAUGAUUUGAAAGUUAGCUGAGGUAGAAGAGUAAAUGUUAGAGAGCGUGGUGUAAUCAUUCCAUGGAAUUUUAGUCUUAGAGAUGAUUCAUCAUAACAUGGAAUUCCGCCCAUCCAAUCCAUAUCUUCACUCUUUACUCUCUUUCUUAAAAAGGUUUUCAACAUUAUAUAGAUUUAAUUUAAUUCAUCCCAUUCAAUCAAUUUCUAAUGGUAAAUGAGUCAAUUAAUUUAAUUCUCUUUUUAAUUUAAUAUCUCAACCAAUUUUUAAUCUAAUCCAAAAUUUCUUUUAUAUAUUUAUAUAUAUAUAUAUAUUCUAUACAUAACUUUAAAUCCAAACGAAACACAAAAUCGGGAUAAGUAGGAGCUCUUGUCACUUGGUUAAAUCAUGCAUACAUUCUCUCUUAAAAGUUAACAGUUGAAUAUAACUCUUUUUUUAAGCUUUGGCGAAAAUAGAAAGUUAAUUUUUUGGCUCCUAAACAUAUUAAUUACUCAAUUUAAACAUUUUAAACACAAAAUCUAUCUUUUACUUGAAUUUCAAUACAGAAUUCCUAAAUUUAUCUUUAAUCCAAGCCUUCUAUACAGGAGUGCUGAAUCGAUUAACUAAAUCGAAUUAGCAUGAAUUAAAUUAACCAAACUUUUUAAACCCUUAAUUGUUAACUAAACUAAAAUUUUUUCAAUACAAAUUAAUCAAACCGAACUAUUUCGGUUAAUUCAAUUAGUCAACCAAAUUAACUGAAAUUUUUAUUUUUAUUUUGUUAAAAUAAGUAUAAAACAUAUAAAAAAUAAAUGGGUAAUGUUCACUUAAUCAAAUUAACCAAAUUAAAAUUAACCGAAUUGGUAAUAAAUAAUAUUGGUUUUUUGAAAUUUCGGUUAAUUACCCAAUUUUGAACUAAAUUAACGAUAACCGAACUUUUAAAAAAUCAUUAACCGACCUCCGACCGAAUUAGAUCAGUUAAGCGAUAGAUUAACUGAAUUAGUUCGAUUCAACCAAUUAAUUCGAAAUUUAUACACCCCUAUUUCUAUAUGGUGAAAAUAGUAAGGAAAUAAAAAAAAUGAUGAGUUAGAUAGACAAAAUGAAAAGAAGUUUGGGAAUUGAGAUUGCCAAGCCCUUAUCUCCCCCAAAUUAGGGCCCAUUUCAUAAACUUUAUUUUAGGGGGGUUAUAAUUUCAUAAACUAACUAAACAACACUAAUAUCUAAACAUUUGGUUUAAAUUUUCUCUUUUGAAAAGGGACCCAAAAAGGGUCAUUGCAAAGUGCAAAUUAUGCUUCAUAAUUAUUCCCUUAAAACGUACCGUUUUGACAUCAUGACUACGUUUGUUCCACGCCAGCUUCAACUGCAAAUUAUAUAUAUAUAUAUAUAUAAACAAUUUAUCAAAUAUUUUGAUUUAUCAAAAUUUUGCAAUAUGUUGCGAUUCAUAAUUAUAUCUUCAUUUUAAAAGAAAUCAUAUUUGAAUUUCUUCAAAUUUGCAACAAAAUAAAUGAAACAUCAUAUAUCUAAUUAUUGUUGUCUUUUGAUUCAUGAUAUAUUUUAAGGAUAAGGUGCAUGAUACAAUUAUAUACAUAUCAUUAUAAGCUCCUUUGCUCAUGUAUAAUUUUAAUUUCAAUUAAUCAAAAAAAAAAAAACAACCACCUUAUAAUCCUAUAACAUGUCUAAUGAUUUUUAACCAUCAUUUUAUGACAAAUAUAAUUACCAUCAAAAGUACCAAAUUAACAUAAUUGAUGAAUAAUAGAAUUGUAUACAAUAAUCAAAAUGAUGGGAGCAGUGGGUGUAUAUAUGGUCCACAAGGAAUAUUUUUAAAAACUACAGCAAUGGGAAAUUAAAAAUUAAUUAUUUAGCAAAACAAGUGUAAUUAUUAUGUUGAAUAUUGAAGAGAUGAUGAUAACAAUAUAAUGGAGGUGGGCUUGGAAUUUGAGAAAUGGUGGGGUUGAUUUUGGUUUUGGUUUUGGAGGAGAAGUAUAUACAAAAAGUGAAAAUAGCAAAAGUCAAAUAGGGACUAUUUCAUGAUAUCUUCACCUCUGAUUUGCAGACCAUUCAUCAUCAUUGCCACCCUCUUGUGAUUUUUUUUCCGAAUUUCUUUUCAUCUUUGCUAAAAGGAAUUAGACAAUUAAACUAAUUAUUAUACAAAUGAAUAUAUAAUUUCAUUUUUUUCACUUAUUACUGGUUUUUUUAGCAAUGAAUUUUACUCUCUCUCUCUCUCUCUCUCUUUUUUUAAUAAAGUUAGGUGUAGCAAAGUUUGAUGAAAAUGGAGUGCAUGGAUAUUCCAUGCAAUUAAAGCAAGGGGAAGCAGCUAAGAAUGAAGCAAUAUUUGUCAUGUACUGUUGACAUUCUUAAAACAGGAAGAAUCCACUAACAAAAUGAGACAUGUAAAUGUAAUUGCAUGAGGUCAAAGAGUAACAUGUCUUGCACUAAACUCUCUAAACAGACGGUUUGCCCUAAACUCUCAUAAUUUACCUUUAGUGACACCGUAUUAACUUAAUUAAGAAAAAAUGAAAAUAUUUUUAUUUUUACAAAAUAAUAAAUAUUAUUAUAAUUAUAUUUUUAUCUUAAUCAUAUUAUUAUAUGAUUUGAACCUUAAAACGUAUGAAUUGUAAGUUAAUUAUUUGAUUUUAAUAUAAAUCUUUUAUAAAUAUAGCUCUUUUUUUCUUUUAAUAAGAAACUAAAAGGAUAAAAAAGAAGAAAAAAGUGGUUGGGUCACAUUAAAGCAUUUUAUAAUAAUUAUAAAACUUCGUAUAUAUAUAAUUUUUAUUGUCUAUCAAUCCUAGAAGUUUCAAGUUUGAGAGAGACCCUUCCUUGAGUCGUUAAAAUCUAAGACUAUUUCUACUUUUAGUCUAUCUUCCAAAAUUCCCUAUACUUCUGUAAAGGAAACCAAAAACCUAACUUAAUUCCUUUCUCAUCAAGAAUAUGUCACAGCAAGCCAUGCUAAACCAGGAGUUGUUUGAGGAAAAAGAGAUGCCUCAAAUGGGUUUCUUUACUUUCCCUCAAACCCUCACUUCAUAUCCUCCUUCAUUUAGUUGCCUCAAAGCUUUCAAUAUUGUACCUCCUCCUGCUAAUCUAACUGAAACCCUAUUCUCUCAUCCAAAGCAUAGAGAAGAAGACUCAGCUUCUGAUUUUGCAGGACCCCAACUCCUUUCCUUGCACAGUUCUACUCCAAACCUAUGGUGAAUAUAUUACCCUCUUAAAUCAUUGUGUAUUCAUGCAAAUAAUAUGCUUCUUAUUUAUUGUUUUCUGAAAUGGUUUUAGGGAAUGGGGAGAGGUAAACGAGUGUUUGGGAACCAAGAAAAGUAGUGGAGAUGAUCAUCUAGGAGUUUCAGCAAUUAAAAUGAAGAGGAUAAAAGGAAGAAGAAAGGUAAGGGAACCUAGGUUUUGCUUCAAGACCAUGAGUGAUGUGGAUGUGCUGGAUGAUGGUUACAAAUGGAGAAAGUACGGCCAGAAAGUGGUAAAAAACACCCAGCAUCCCAGGUAUAUUCAUAUUCAUUACAUUUCACACUCAACAAAGAUAUCUCCCUUUUUGUUUUUUUUUUGUUUUUUGUUUUUACAUUUAAAUUUUAUCAAGGUUUUUAGCUAUGGCCUUAGUAGUACCCCAUAUACACAUGCUAUGUUUCCUCUUUUUUAUUUUAUUUCCCUCUGUCAUGUAAUUAUGCUUUUGGUUAAUCAUGACUGCUAGGGCUUUACAGUACUCCUGUUGUUGCAUGAGAUGUGAAAUUGAUGAGCGGGGGGGAGGGGAUUUUAAUCAUGAAAAUUACAAUACCGAAAUUCUUAUAGAACCCUAAAAGAAGUCAUUAUUAUCUUCGAAAAGAUACAAAAUCACAAUAAAAAAAGGGGGAAAUUAUAAAACAAUUUGUAAAUUUAUAAUGCAUAUCACAAAAAAGGGAAGCUAUAGCCUAGAAUAAUAUCUUCACUACAUAACAAAGUUGGAAAUACCAUUACCAUAACGAAAUUAUAUACAACAAUUCUAGUUGAUUAAAUAGAGAGUUUCACUUUUCCAUGCCAUAACAAUAAGCUAAAGUGCCUAGGCAACUGGUAUGCAUGUAUAUAUAUAUGUAUUUUAAGGUAAACAAUGUAGGAGUUUAGUAUGAACUGUAAGCGUUUCACCUUUUGAUUUGUCACUAUGUAAGAAAAGAGAACCACCUAGCUAGACACUUUGCUUACAAAGUAGAAACUCUAAGGGCAAUGAUUUUAGCUCUGAAUAACAAAAGAGUACUACAUGAUUAUGCACCUAUAUAUAAAUAUGUACACUUUAGGGUUUUGAGUAUCAUUUGAUUUUCUAAAAUUAUGGGGUUAAAGAGACCACACCAUAAGAGACAAAAAAAAAACCAUGAGACAUGAGGGAGAGGAAACAAUGACCUCUUUUAGCUACUAAAUUUGUUACCAGUUAGCAUAUGUAGGCUAUAUUAUAUAUAUAUAUAUUUCUUUUUGGUUAUGGAAAAGAGUAAACCAUAUAAUCAAGGAUUGCUAGGGAAUUCUAGUAUAACUAAAAUAUAAAUCUAGUUGGCUAAAUAUAAAUUACAUUUUUUUUAAAUAAAGGAUAAAGGUAGGGUUUUUUUAGGAAUGGAAUCAAAGAAUAGUGUUAAAUAUAAAGUUUUUGAAAAUAAUGACAAGGGGGUUUAUUUUUUAAAAACAAAAUUUGAGUAUUUAUUUGAUAAUUACUUUACUUUGUAGUAUAACCAAAGUUUCCUAGUUACAAAGUGAUUUAAUUUCUAAACAAAAUAAUGAGUAUGGUGGAAGUAGGGCCCUAAAACCUGACUUAUAUGUGAAAGGGGAACGCCCUACUUAUUCAAAUUGGUAAUAAUCAUAAUAAACUUAAGGACUUAUCAUAGCUUGAUUAACUUCAUUAAUAUCCAACUUCAUGCAACCUUUCACAUGCUCACUAGAAAUCCCUUUCUUUUUCACUGUUAAAUUCAUUAUUUCACAUUCAAGCCCUCCUAUUCUUACCCAAUUUGCUGCAUGCAUUUCACUGUUAUUUUCACUAUGCACAUUCUCAUCAUACCCAUAAACAACAUUAUUUGCAAUCUCAUCAUACCCAUAAACAACAUUAUUUGCAAUCAUAUGUUAAAAAAAAAAUGAAUGGAAUCGAGUGCAGGAGCUACUAUCGGUGUACGCAAGAUAAUUGCCGGGUAAAGAAACGAGUGGAGCGACUAGCGGAGGAUCCGAGAAUGGUGAUUACCACCUAUGAAGGGCGGCACGCUCAUUCUCCGUCGCACGAUUCCGAGGACUCUCAGCACCCUUACUCUCACCUUAACAAUUUCUUCUAGCACCACCAUCUAAACCAAUUACAUUUCAUAUAUAUUUUGUAUACAUUAUCUUUAUAUUUGUUUUUAAACUUUUUGUUAAUGAGAUAGAAUAAUUUUUGUUUAUGAUAGUAUUCAGAUAUAUAUUGUGAAUGCAUUAAAUAUAAACUUUAUAUAUAUAUAUAUUAAUGCAUUGAUUUUAUAUAUUGAUAUACUAUCAAUGAAAUAAUUAUUGUUGAAUAAAAUUGAAAGGGUAAUGUUUGUAUGUACAUUCUCUCAACCUCUUUGUUAUGUUAUGUUUAAUUAAAUUUUGUUGAAAAAUCAUUAAAUUAUAUAUUAACUUAUAAUUUGUAAUUAAAAAAGGCUAUAAUGGACUUAAUUUCACCCAUCACAAUCCUAAAUAAAUAAAUAUAGAAUGUUUUAUGAAUUGAUACAAUAUCAAUUUCAUUUCCAAUGCCAAAAACCAAAACUUAUUUGUCUUAUAAAUUAAUUGCCACUCUACCUAGUUGUAGGAAAAUCUAGCAUAAUGUACAUAUAUGUUUGUAAUAUUUUUUAAAAUUGAAGUGUAUGGUGAAAUUUCAUCCAACUUCAUCAAUCAAUCAAUCAAUCCAGUGAUUGAAAAUUUGGGCUUUAAGAGCCCACUUGGUUUUAAAUAUAUAAGAAAAGAAAAUACUAGAAUAAAUGACACUAAGAAACUUGCUCUGUAAUGAAUACUUUUUUGUUUUUUGCCAUUAUUGUUCAUAGUUUCUUACAGGCAAAUUAUGAAAGAAAAAGACUAGUGGUAUGAAUAUGAUGAUAAGUAUAUCCUCCUCAAAAACAUUGAUGCAAUCAUAAAUCUAAAGUACAAAUAUUCCUUUGCUAUUUUCAUAUAUCUUUUAGUGAUAAUUAUGAGAAGAACCAUUGCAGAAAUAUAUAACAUUAUUAUCUACUUUCUGUAAACUGAAAAGAUAAGCAAGCACCCUCUUUUUCUGAUUCCACAUUCUAUAAUUCUUCCCUAUCAAUUUGUUUGUUUGCAAUUUUUAUCUUCCUUUUGAGUUUCGAUUAAACUUGAAGUUGAACCGAGUCAAAAAUUUUAUUCGAAUAUGAAUAUAGUUAAUUUGGAUAAGUUGGAAGGUUGAAUUUUACAUUGGAAUUUCAUGAAUUUGAUGGUCAAUUUGUAUGGAAUUUUAAGACCAAUUAUUUCCAAAUGAUUCUAAAGCUAGAAUAGGGUUUUCUUAAAUAAGAAUAGUCCAAUGGGCUAUGAUUUGGGUAAAUAAUUCUUUUUAAUCCAUACUUUAUCUUCUAAAUCCCAAACAACAAACCAUAUAAAUAAAUGUUGGGUUUUGUUUGAUAAAAAAAAAAAAACACACAAUGGCGAGGAUGAAAAUUUUGCAAUCCAAAUUACUAAAUUACGAAAUUAAAAAUAUAUAUAUAUAAAUCUUAACUAAUCAAUUAAUAAAAUUCUCUAUCAUCUCUUGUAUCAACAAAACAAACCUAUCCCCUACAUGUUACUGAAUAAAUCUGACUAGAGAAAAUUGAUCAAUAGGUUUAAUAUUUCAAUUUUCUUCCGUUCCAACGCACCACAAAACCAUGUUUUACUAAUAAAAAUGUUUUUUAGGUGUAAAAUGCUCCCAAAUUAAAAAAAAAAAAUUUUAAGGUUUUUUUUUUCACUCAACUAAAUACUUAAAUUUUCAAAAUGUAUAAAAAAGACUCUCAAAAUUUUUCAAAGAAAGCAAUUUAGCCCCUUUUUUUACACUCAAUUGGGUACUUGAACUGUCAAAAUGUAUCAAAAAGUCCUUUAACCGAUAACUCUAACAGUUGAUUGUUAAAGUUAACUGCCCUUAAUUUUUUUCAGUUAAAACCAUCACAUUUCAAAAUCUAAAUAUUAUUAAAUUUUAAUAAAAAUAUUAAAAAUUAAGAAAUAAUUAGGAAAAGUUAUAAAAAUCAUAAAAUUUGUAAAAAAAUAUAAAAUAUACAAAAAUAUAGAAAUUUUUAUAAUAUAAAGUGGCAAGAAAAUUAUAAAAAAUGUAAAGAAAUAUAAAAUUCAUAAAAAAAUUAUAAAAAUUAUAAAAUGCUUCUUUUGUUAUGAUAAUUUUUAACCACAUGUCACGUUGUGUUUCAACACGUGAUGGCUUUAAUUGAAAAAAAUAGGGGUUGUUAACUUUAACUGUCAUUGAUUUUUAUAAAAUUUACUAUUUUUUAUAUUUUUACUAUUUUUAUAAUUAUUCUAUUUUUCUUUUAAAAUUUAAUAAAUUUUAAAUAUUUUAUUAAAAUUUAAUAAAUUUUAUAACUCUUAUUGAUUUUUAUAAUUUUUUUACCACAUGUCAUGCCGUGGUUGUGACACGAGGUGGAUUUAACUGAAAAAAAUUAGGAGCAGUUAAAGUUAACAAUCAAAGUAUUUUUUUAUGUAUCAAAUUGAGUGAGAAAAAAAAGUGAGGUUUAUUUUAUUUUAUUUUUAAAGUUUAAGAGCCUCUUUGAUGCAUUUUAAAAGUUCAAGUACUUAAUUGAGUAAAAAAAAUAAAGGCUUAAUUAUUUUUUAUUUUUUUAGGGAAACCUAUUUUUUAUUCAAAUUCAAAUUUAAAAUAUAUAAAUAUUAUAAAUAAAAAAAUCAAGCUUUUGGGUUGACUCAAUCUUUGGACCCACGUUUAGAAUAAAAUUUUGUAAACCGUGACCUUAUGAUUCUUAUCCAAUCAAUUAACACUAUUACUUUAUCUAUAAUUACUCCUAAUAUAAGAUAAGAAAAAUAUUUUUUAAAUUGUUAGGUAAAGAUUAGGUUGAUGAGAAGUAUAUAUAUAUAGAGAAUAGUAAAAUAAAUGAAAUAUAUAUAAAAAAAAUUAAAACACGUACUAAAUUUAUAAUUCUACUUGUAAAGUUAAAAAAGUGUAUUAUUAAUGUAUCAAAUAUUUGUCCUAUAAAAACAUAGUUCAUUUUUUUUAGAGAUUACAUAAGAAUUUUUUUUAAAGUGUGUUUGGAUGAAAUUUUUUAAAAUUUUUUAUAUUUUAAAAUACUAAUAUUUUAGAAUUCAUAAAUUCAAAAUGCUAGGAUAAAUAAUUGAUUUAGAAAAAGAUUAAGUUAAAGGAAUUUUCUAAAUUAAAAUAUAUUAUAAAAGUAAUUAUAUUAAAAAUAAAUAAUAUAAAAAUAUUAAAUAUGGAUAUUUUUAUAUUUUUAAAAAUUUAUAAAUGAUUUUAAUAAAAUAAAAUUUCAAAAAAUAUAUUAUAAUUAAAUAAAAACAAAUUUUGUAGUUUAAAUUUUUAUCUUAUAGUGGAACCAUGUGUACUAAAUUAAAUAAAAUUAGGAGAAACUUUGAAAAAAAAAUCUAUUUAGGUGGGACCUGACAAAGGAAUUUAAGCUCUUAAAAUUUCCUCUUGAAAUUAUCAAAAUUUUUUUAAGUUCUCUAAUAUAUUUACCUAAACAAAUAGAUUCAUUUUUAGAAUUUUGAAAACUUUGAUACAAAUGAAAUCUCUCAUGCAAAUUCCUCAACCAAACACACUAUUAAGGAAACAAAAAAUUUGUCUAUAAUCUAUGUAAAUGAAUUGGCUAGAAUACCCUUUAUUUAAUAGAAGUUGUGAUAAUUAAAUAUUUAAAAAUCAUUUUAAUUUAAUUUACAGUUAUUAAUUAAAAAAUUUAAAGGUAAAAAAUUUUAAAAUUUUUAUAAAAUAAAGAAAGAUUGAGAGAAUAAAGAACAAAGAAAAUAUGAAAGCAAUAUCAGAGAAUGUGCUUUAUUAAUCAAAGGGAUGAUUACAAUGCUUCAUCAGAGUCUCUAUUUAUAGGCAUAAGAAGUAUAAAAGAAGUAGAGAUCUAAUUCUAAUAACUAUUAGAAUUUAAAGUACAUCAAAACUUUAUCUUGAUCAUGAUGGACAUAUACUAAAUAAGAUAUUCAUAAUACUCCCCCUUGGAUGUCCAUUGGUAGAUAAUGUGCCUCAUUAAAACCUUAUUAAGAAAAAUCCUGUGGGAUAAAAACAUAACAAAGGAAAAAAAAGUACACAAUCUUCUAUUACAAGUUGCCUCAUUGAAUACCUUUACCAGGAAAACCCAAUGGGACAAACAUUGGUUAAAGGAAAAUAGUAUAACUUGUUUUAGACUCCCCCUAAUGGCAACAUUGCGUUACAUCUUUGAGUUGACGCAUUCCAAUCUUGUGUGGUAGUCUUUCAAAUGUUGAAGUUGGCAAUGCCUUAGUAAAAAGAUAUGUUAAAUUAUCACUAGAACGAAUUUGUUGAACAUUUAUAUCACCUCUUUUCUCAAGAUCAUGGGUGAAGAAUAAUUUUGGUGAAAUAUGUUUCAUUCUAUCACCUUUGAUGUAACCACCCUUCAAUUGAGCUAUAUAUGUUGCAUUAUUUUCAUAUAAGAUAGUUGACAUCUUUUCCUAUAAAGGCAAAUUACAUAUCUUCUGGAUAUGUUGGGUCAAUGACCUUCGCCAAACACACUCUCGACUUGCCUUAUGCAUUGCAAUUAUUUCUACAUGAUUUGAAGAAGUAUCAGUUAAUGUUUGCUUUGUCGAAUGUCAUGAUAUGGCAGUACCCCCACAUGUACAUAAAUAUCCUAUUUGAGAUCAACCUUUAUGUGGAUCUGAUAAGUACCCAACAUCAGCAUAGCCAACUAAUAGAGAUUUUGAGUCAUUUGAAUAAAAUAACCUCAUAUCAAUAGUCCCUCUGAAAUAUCUAAAUAUAUAUUUAGUUCCAUUCUAAUGUCUACAUGUUGGAGAAGAACUAAAUCUUGCUAACAAGUUUACAGUGAAAACUAUGUUAGGUCUUAUGCUGUUUCCAAGAUACAUCAAUGCCCUUAUGACACUUAGAUAUGGUACUUCAAGACCAAGAAACUCUUCAUCAUUCUCGCAAGGACAAAAUUGAUCUUUAUUCACAUCUAACGAUCGUACAACCAUCGGAGUACUUAAUUGGUUGCAUUAUCCAUGUAAAUUCUCUAUAAUAUCUUUUCUAAAUAAGUUGAUUAAUGAACAUGAUUUUCAUCUUUUAAAUUCUCGAUUUGUAAGCCAAUAUAAAACUUUGUUUUUUCAAAAUCUUCUAUUACAAAUUCUUUCUUUAAAUAAUUUAUUAUACUUUGAAGCUUUUCGGGAGUUUCAAUAAUAUUAGAUCAUUAACAUAAACAACAACUAUCAUAAAAUCUAAUCCAAACUUUUUUAUAAAGACACAUGGACAAAUUGGAUCAUUUUUGUAACCUUCUUUUAACAAGUAUUCACUAAGACGAUUGUACCACAUACGUCUAGAUUGUUUUAUUUCACAUAAACUUUUCUCUAAUUUGAUCGAGCAAUUUUAUCAAGAAACUUUAUACCUUUUUGGGAUGUUAAAUCCUAUAGGGAUUUUCAUAUAAAUUUCACUAUUAAGUGUACCAUAUAAAUAGGGUGUAACAACAUCCAUUAGAUGCAUGUCAAGUUUUUCAUGUACUAUCGGACUAAUAAGAUAUUUAAAAGUGAUUGCAUCCACCACAGAAGAAUAUGUCUCUUCAUAAUCAACGUCGGGUCUUUGCGAAAAACCUUGUGCUACAAGGCGAGCUUUUUAUCUUACGAUUUCAUCAAUUUCAUUUUAUUUUCAUACAAAUACCCAUUUAUAUCCUACCGGCUUUUACAUCUUUAGGUGUUUGGACUACAGGUCUAAAAACUUCACGUUUAGAAAGUGAACUCAAUUCUGCUUGAAUUGCAUCUUUCCAUUUUGGCUAAUAUUUUCUAUUUUUACAUUCCUUAGUAGAUUUAGGCUUAAGAUCCUCAUCUUCUUUUAUUAUUUUAAUAGCAAUAUUAUAAGCAAAAUUGUUGUCGACAACUACUUUUUUUUUUCGGUUCCAUCUUUUUCUCGUAUUGACAUAACUUAUCGAGAUCUCUUUACUUUCAUCAUUUCUAUUUUCACUUUUAGGUGCCUGAAUCUCUUCUUGAGUUUUAUAAUUAGUUAUGUCAUAGGUCUCUUCAGGAACCCCUGCCUCCAUUAUAUGACCAUCUUAAAUGUUUGCUCAUUUACUUUUACGAGGAUUUUAUCUUUAAAAUCGACCGGUCUUUCACACUUCAUGCAUGAAUUACUUUCUUUUUUAUUAACAAUUUGCCCUAUUAGGACAUCAAUUCGUAUUGGAGCAUUUUCAGCUAGUAUGUGAGAUUUAAUGAAUCUGGCAGUUGAUUUGUAAUAUGAAUUAUCUGUUGAACUUCUGGUUCACAUUGCUUUGUACAAUGAUCUUAGACAUUGAUAAUUCAUUUCAAGUACUUUAUUAAUCUAGCUUUUUAUUCUCUUCCCCUAAUGUUGGGAAAACUGACAACUCUUGUCAUAACUAAAUAUCGAAUUAAUAGCUCAAAAAUAUUAUAAAGAACUCACAUAUAUAUAGAUUUCCAAUCUCUUAUAAUGACCCAUCUUUGUGUGUUGUGGUGGAGCAGUUGGAACAUAUACUGCACAUCCAAAAAAUUGUCAGAUGGGAAAUAUUUGGCUCUUGACCAAAAAUCAAUUGUAAUGAGGAGUAUUUAUAAUUUAUUGGCUUGAUGCGUACAAAUACAAUCUCAUGCUGAAAUAGAAAGUUUUGUUCUCAUAAGUAAUGAUUUAGCUAUUAGUUGGAGGCAUUUGAUAAAUAAUUCAGCUAAAUUAUUUUGUGUGUGAACAUGAGCUAGACGAUGUUCAACUUUUAUCCCAAUUGACAUGCAAUAAUCAUUGAAAACUUGGGACGUAAACUCACCAACAUUAGCAAGAUGAAUUGUUUUAGUUGCAUAAUCUAAAAUUAAUCAUUUAAAUAAGCAAUAUCGCAAACGACAGGUUGCGAGUUGAUAACGUAUGUGAUUAUUUUGUAGAUGUAUCUACCAAAAUCAUAUAAUAUCAAAACUAUCCACAUUGUGGAUGAAUGUGCCCAUAUUUAUUUCAGAAAUGCAAUACAUUAAAUAUCAACUUUAGCUAGUGAGUUUCUAAGAACCAAUUUUUAUUGAGAACAAGCAACAAAUAAGAAUUCUUCAAAUUAAAGAAUCUUCUGGUUCUUUAAUGGAUGUCUAUAUGAAUUCUCAAUUAAUUUUCUCAUCAUAUACGAUCCAAGAUGAUCUAACUGGUCACGCCAAGUAGUGAACACAUUUCUAUUAGUAAACUUCUGGUUUACUUUAACAUGUGUUUCAAUUGUAAUAAUUUGUAACAAAUUGAUAAUUUUAUUAUCAUUCCUUUUAAUUUGUAUCCACAUAUAAGUACUAUUGUGACAUUUACUACUGGAAAUGUCUAAAUCAAUAUGAAAUCUAUAAUGUCACCAAGUCAUUAAAUAUAAUUUCCAAAUAAUUAUAUGCAAUAUUCGCUUCAGGGAAUAACAAAUUUUGUGCUUUUUAGAUAUUAAUAUAUUAGCUCUUCUGGAGCUUUCAAUUAAUUUUGUACUAUCAAAUAUUGGAAUAAUAUUUGUUUGUUUUAGUACCAAAUAAGAUAAAUAUUUUCUAUUUAUAAUGAUAGAAUUCAUUAUUACAUUCUUAUAUCCUUCUUCAAAGAAUAUUAACAAAAACAAAAUAUUUGGACAUAUGCCACACAUGUGGCCAAUAAUCAUAUCACAUUGAUAACAUAAGUUAUCUUUACCCUUUGAAGAGUUAUCUUAAGAACUCUUAUUGUUCUCUUAUUUAUUACUAUGUUCCCACUUUUAGUGGUUUAUGAUUAUAUCUUUUAUUUUCUUUAUAUUUGCAUUCACUUCAAGGAAUGCUAUAACUCUAGUAAGAUAGACUUCUAAACGCCUCCAUUGAUUUUUUUAUUUUAUAAUCACUAUCGCAAAACAUGUGUGGAUUUCAAAUCAAAAUCUAUCUAUUCAUGUUGUCACGAUUAGUCUCCAAUCACGUCCUCAAUUGCAACAACAAUGAUGAUCUCUAUAUUUUCAUUUUUCAUAAUUGUUAUGUACUGCUACAUUCACUUCAGGAAAUGAAGCAAAACUAGUAGGAAGAAUUUCAUAGUUUUUCAUUAGUAACUUAUUAUUUUGCUUAACCACUAGAAUGUAUGAGAUCAUUCGAAAAUACUGUUAAAGUCAUUUUCACAAUAUUGCUACUGCAGGAGCACAUUAGAUAUUUCAAUCAUAAUGUAAUGUAUUCCUUCGGGGAAUAUAUAUAAUAUAAAUACACGAGUAUCUCAUGUUAUUUAUAUAUAUGGUUUUAGUGUAAAACACAAGAAGGUUUUAUUCAACAUAUAUCUUCUUAAUCUGAAAAGAAAUAUUAUAUUUUAUAAAAUUUUGCAUCACAACGGAGCUAAAAUAUAGGCUCUUAAAGAGCUUUUUACAAUUUGAUGCAAUGUUAGCUCUUUAGGAGCAUAUAAUCAUUUUAUUAUAUAACCUUUAUGGAUGUUUAAUUUAUUUUAAAUAAAUUUUUAUUUAUUCAUAUAAAAACAAAAUGAAUAGGUAUAAAUAAAACAUAUAUUAAAUGUAACAAAUAAUAAAUCGUUGUGGUUAGAUAAUAUAUAUUUUAUAUAUCAUACCACAACAAAAUACAAAAUAUUAUAAUGUCAAAUUAAAAUAACUUUAUAGCUAUAUAAGUUUAAAUAUAAACAUUUUUUAAUCUCCACCUCUUAUGACAUAAUUUCAUCUCAAAUUUUACAAUGAUAUGAAAUUAUCAUAGACAGGGUGAAUAUCUCAAAGUUCAUGACAAGUACUUUUACUCACAUUCCGUAAUAAUCAUAUAUCUUAAUCAAAAUCAAAAUUAAACCAAUAAAUUCUAUUAAAAAUAUUUAUCUCCACAUAAAAAUCUCAAUAAGUAAAUGCGUGAAAGGUUUUAUAAAUUCAUAGAUAUACAGAUAGUGAAUUAUAUAAAUUGAAUUUUUUAAUAGAAAUCAAAUCAAAUUUCAAAAGAAAUUGAUUAAAUUGACUUACAUUUCCAUGGAUGAGAAGUAGUGCUUAUAAACAUCUUUUUUAAUGAAGAGAAAGAGAUCAUCCCCAAGCAAAUAUCAAAAAACAAACUUUGAGAGUGAAUCUUACUUCUCUAUUUCAUAUAGAUAAUGGUAUCAAAUCUUUCACCAUCUUUAAGAACAAAAAGUAAAAUAAAUUAAUCAAAACAAUGAUAACGUAUAAUGAAAGAAGGAUUAAAAAUAAUAAUCAAAUAUGAAACAUUAAAUAAAAGAAACUUCUUAUAAAAACUUUGCAUCUUGCCAUAAAAAAAUAUUAAAAAUCAUGAAAGAUAAAUUUGAUCAUUGAUAAAAUGAACUAUCACUUUGAGUAAUAUCGUGCUAUAAAAUAAAGAAAGAUGGAGAGAAUAAAGAAUAAAGAAAAUAUAAAAACAAUAUUAGAGAAUGUACUUUAUUAAUCAAAGGGAUGAUUAUAGUGUUUCAUCAGAGUCUCUAUUUAUAGGCAUAAGAAGCAUAAAAGAAGUAAAAAUCUAAUUCUAAUAACUAUUAGAAUUUAAAGUACAUCAAAACUUUAUUUUGAUCAUGAUGAACAUCCACUUAAUAAGAUAUUCAUAACAAAAUUAAAGUUAUUAGUUAAAAAGAACUCUAAACAUAAAAUAUAGGAAAAAAUGUGAUAACUAUAAUUAUAAUAAAUAGAGUAAUUACUUGAAUAAAAUUUUAAGCAUAUUAAUUAUAACUUAAUUAAUAUUAGAAUUAUAUAGCAAUUAAAAUUUAAGUUUAAAUAUAUAAAUAGUCUCUAGUUUUAAUUUUUUAUAUAGUUAUAAAUUUGUAUAUUAUUUUAAAUAGUUUUUACGUAUUAAAUUUAAUUAUAUUUUAGUUAAAUAUUGGUUUUAUAUUUGAUUUAAAUUAUUUUAUCUAAAAUUUGAUAUCCGUACAAAUUAUAUCCCACCGAAUCAAUAGCUUGUUGGAAUUAUUAGUUUUGUUUAAUAAAACGCAUUUAAUUUAUUUUUUGUAUUUAUAUCUAAAAAAUGUUAUAAAAAAUAGGGGUGACCAUAUGCAUACAAAUAAAUAAUGAAAUUAUAAAUAUAAUAAGUUAUGAGAUUCAACUGGCUGCCCUUUACAUGCAGUAUGAAAUAUAAGACAAAAGUUAUGGGACAGAGAGAUGAAACAAAUAUACAGGAUGCCUUCCCAAUAUCUACUUUCUGCUACAUUUAUAUUUUAGUUUGCCAAUUCAUUAUAUUCAAUUUAACCAUAUCUUAUCUUAAUUUUAUAUAUCACACUAUAUUUUUGAAAAGAAAAAAACAAUAAAUUUAUAUUAAAUUAAAUAAAAGAGAGAGAGAAUGGUCGUAACUCGCAUGGAACAACUUUGAAAACAUUAAACAAAUGGGAUUAAUGAAGGUUAAUUGAAUUGCAAUAUAAGAAAUCAUGAAAAGAUGGGUCCUUCAUCCUUGGUCCUUCCACUACCACAACGUGCUCCCCUCCCUCCUCAUCCGCACGUUCAAACUUCAAAGCUCUUAUUUCCAGGAUCUUUUUAGACAAAUUAAAUCAUCACCAUUCUAAUCACUUCAUUGCUUGCAUCAAGUAGAGAUGAUAUAUGAGUUAACCAAAAAUUACAAGGACGCCACGAAAAAUUGAGAUUCCCCCCAAAAAAUGAGCAUGGUUAACUAAGAUUAAAAGCUAAUGAAGAUGAGUAGAAUCUUUGCAGACCCUGGUGAAUGGAGAAUUGGAAAACCCAAAUGAUGAAAUCAGGGCCGUCAGUUUGGUUAGGACAGAGCGGGGACCACCACCUGGACAAGCGCACGUGGGCAGAUCCAACCACUGACUUUGCUGACAGAGAGUGUGUUGUGUUCAAUUUGUUUCUCCUGUCCUACAUUUGCCCCAACCUUGUCUGCUGCCCGGAACAUCUUCGGUCAGCUUCCCACGUGUGUUGGUCAACUCCAUUUGUGGAUUUGUUCACAAGGGAUUGGGUAUUAUUGGACAACACUAUUCAUAUAUAAUAAAUAAAAAAAACACAAGUUGCUUUCUUUUUUAAUUUUUCACAAUUAAUUAAGUUUUUUAAAAUAUUAUUAUUAUGGAAAAUAUUUUACUUUUUUGAAAGUAUGUGAUAAGGUAGGAGUUUGGAGAAGAGAAUCGUAAGGUUAGGUGGGGUUUGUUUCACUUGAUUAAUAAACAUAAGACAAUACAUCUUUUAUUUUGUUCUAUUUAUAUUUAUAUAUAUAUAUAUAUUAAGUUUUACUCUUCUUUGUUUAGUAUUUUUAGAAAACGUUUUUUUUUCUAGUUUUUAGAAUUUAAUUGUUUUGGUUAAAUCUGAUUUAAACUCAUGUAAUGCCUCAAAUAUUUUAGUUUACUUUUUUAAUUUUUUAUUUGGAAAAUGAUUAGUGUUGGAGAAAUUAAUAAUAAUGCACCACCUCAUGUCACUAUCCACAAAUGCUUUCAUCUGAUUCAGGUUUAAGAAAUCUCUAAAUAAAAUACUCUUAGAAGAUGUGAAUCAUAAAUAUUCCAACUAUUUUAUUAUACAUUUCUUUUAAUUUACAAAUAAAAUUAUAAAUACAAAACCCAUCAAAAUUGUACCAUCGAAUUAAACAAAAUCUGAAAUGACGAUCUGACGGUGGAGAAAUGAAUUUGGAGUACAAAGGUCAAAGAAAAGUGGGGGCAGAAAGGGAUGGCAUAGGAUUACGGAAGGCGACGUUGUAGGGAAACGGAGCAGACAAAGCCAGGUAAGGUUUCCCCGUGUCGCCCACCGUGCGCGUGUUUGCAUGAAAGCUGUUGCUAGGAUUGUUAGAGCCACAUGAAAGAUUAAUUCCUUAUUUUCUCAAAUAUAAAUACAACAAAUUUUAAUAAUUAAAUAAACUUUCAAUUUGCUUUAUACGCAACCAAGGAAGGCAUCAAUACGGCAUUGAUUGUAUGCAAUUUAAGUUUCUUACAACAUAGGAAAACUAAACAAGUAAAUUUUUUUUUUAUGAUUAAUUAUUAAAAAGAAUUUAAUGUAUUAUUACGAUAUCAACCUCAUGUGAUGGCUUGAUGAUUAAGGAUGCUCAUCGUCCUAAAUGUGAUUUAAGUUCGAGUCAUGCUAGUCGUGUUUAGCGUUCGAACUUUACAUUAUUAUUUUAGUUCACCAAAAAAAGUAUUAUUACGAUAUAACACUUGCUUAGGUAAAUGCCUAUUCAAAGAGGCACUUAAUAGUCCUAGUUACCAUUUCCGUAGAAGAACAUAUCCUUACCAAUCAACAAAUUGAGAUCUUAAUUAAUAGUAAUACUACGUACUAAUCUCACGACAAUCUUUGUUUAUUUUUCAAUCUUUGUUUAUUUUGUUGUAUUAGUGACAGAUUAUUAAACUAAUUAAUUAGGUAGAAUUUGCUUAGAAACUGUUUUCAACUGUAAUCCAUGCAUGGUCACCGGACAGCUCAUAAGAGACAGACAUUUAAUACGAAUCCAUUGUUUCAUUUAUUUGAUAAUUAAUAUAGUAUAGAUGUAGUGAUGCAAUUUCUAAAUAAAUGGUUUUAGAGUUAAACGGAUUAGGUUAUUAUGAUAAACUAUAUAAAAUUAAAUAGAUUGAGACAUACAAAAAUCAUAUGAGAAAAAUAAUUAAAAUAACAUGAAUAUAUGAAAUUAUCAAAUUUAAUAUAAACAUGUAAAAUUUUACAAGUAAAAAAAAAUAAAACAAUACACUUAUAAAUAUAUAUAUUUGUACAACUACAAAAUAAAGCUCAUGUACCACACGCCUAACCACACACCCAUGUACCAGGCCGUGUAUCACAUACGGUCUAGACACACGCUUGUGUGUCUACCCAUGUGAACAAAAUAAAGCCAUUUCUAGUUUCAUUUCUCACCCAAUUUUUUUACUAAGUUCUUGCACCAAACUUAUAUCCAAACACCAACUAAUCCAAGCAUUGAAUUCAAGCAAUUUAUAACAUCUAAUGUGAUAUAGUGUUGCAUGCAUUCAUACUUUUAAUCUUACCUUUUAUAAGCAUACUCAUUUAACCUUUCUGAAUCAAUCAAUAAUAAACACUUAUGUUAUCUCCAUAGAAUAAACUUAAUACAUACAUAUAUAUAUACCAAAACAUAAUCAUCACUAGCCAUUCCAAUGGCUAGAUUACAAUAAUCAUUUACAUUUACAUGCCAAUAUGGCCGAUAUAACCUAUACAUGCCAUUAUAACCAUAAUUGAUUUACCAAAUUAUACCAACAAGGCCCGAUGGAUAGUGUGAGUGAUCUCUACCAAGCUUCCAAUCCAACAAGCUUCCGAUUUACUCUAAAACAAGGAAAUAAAACUAAGUAAGCAUAAAAUGCUUAGUAAAUUCGUAUAAUAUGGUACUUAACUUACACUUCAUUUUAUUUUGAGGUAACUAUGUAAGGCAUAUUCAAUCAAUUUGAUCUCAAGCCCUACACACAUCCUCAUUGCCCUUGUUAGUCAUAUAUUCCAUAAUAACAUCAAAACAUUAAUGGGCUCAACAACAAUCAAGUUUCCGUGCACAUAUGCUUUCCACAACAUGUAUUCAUUUAAUAUGUAUAAAUCAUCUCUUUAUAUUACAAGUAUAAUUUCAUAAUAGUUCAUCUCGAGUUUAGAUUAUUUCAUGUCAGAACUUUACUCAUAUCAUUCAAAAUAUCAAGGUCACACAAGUAGUAGUACACUCAAGGUGUACAAGUCUAUAAUCAAGGAUGAACAUUCUCAUCAAAUAAUUUUCAUGUACAAAUAUCAUCAUCACAUACUUUCAUAUAUAACUUUUCAUGUAUCAUCAUUUUCUUGUAUUUCAGACGGAUAUGUGUAAUAACUUAUUUUAUUAUUCAUAUCUUCUCAUGUCCGAAUUAUCACCCGUUGAAUUUAUUGAAAUAUCGAUAGAUACACAGGUAGUACACUCAAGGUGUACAAAUCAGGAUCUGUCAAUUCAUAUUCAAUGGUACCCAUAAGACACUAUUUUAGAGUGUACACUCUCGAGCCACACAUGUAUACAACAAGAUUUCCGGUCCAGGCUAAAUCCUUUUUAUGACAUAUGCUCUAAGGAGCUUGAUCUGGAUUACCCGUCAGGGCUAAAUCCUAUCCAUGACAUAUGCUCGAGAGGAUUUAUAUCAAGAUUACUCGUCUGGGCUAAAUCCUUUCUGUAAUGAGGUCAAUAGGAUUACUCGUCUGAGCUAAAUCCCGUCAGCAACAAAUGCAGGACCUCAUUCAUUUCGAGAAAUCGCAUAUCCAUUGAUUUUCCAUUUAUUCAACUGGGAUUUAAACAUUUUUCAAGCAUUAUUGGGCAUGUGAUUAUUUCAUACAUUCAUAACAUUCAUAUAGAUCAAGUAAACACAUUCGACAUUCAUUUCAAGCAUAUAAGUAACAUUUUUAUCAUUCAUCAUUUAUCGACAUUAUUAUUGAUCGGGCUUUGUCAGAUAUAUAUUUUCAAUGUCAUAUAUAUAUGAUAUUUAUACAAUUCACAAACACAACAUUUAAUUCAAGCAUAUAAAUAUACACAAUUUAGUUACACGAACUUACCUCGAAAAUGUUCGUGUACAUAAAAUCUACUAAUCCGACAUUUUCCACUUUCCUCAUUUUGGCUCCGAAUUUGGUAUAUUUGGAUCUAUACGAGUAAAUUUUAUAUCAAUUUAUCACAUUUCAUAUUCAAGUGGACUCAAUUUACAUCCUAGGAAAAAUUACCAUUUUGCCCCUAACUUUUCCAUAAAUUCUCAUUUUGUCCCUAAGCUCGAAAAAUGAAAUUUAUGCAAUUUACUCCCUAUUCCAAGCCUAACUGAAAUUUCAAUAUAGAAUUUGCAGCACAUAUUUUCUAUAAAUUUCAAAAUUUUUCAUCAAUUUUCACAACUUUACAUUUUAGUCCCUAAAUCAUGUUUUCAUCUAAAAUCACUUUGUAAAAGUUGUUUAUCUAUCAAUAACCUUUCAUUUUCUACCAUAAAUUUCUAAUUUUCAGCAUAUACAUCCAUGACCUAAUUUCUAUACUUUGAUAACUCUUCAAAUUGAUCCCCCAAAUAGAUAGAUUAAGCUAGCCCGGUUUCAAAAAUAUCAAAAUUACUAAAAACGGGACAAGAAAAUUUACCCAAUUUGGCUAAGAAAGUUUCUUCUCUCUCUCCUAGAGUUUUAAUUGAAUAUUUUGGGGAAGAAGAUGAUAAAAAUGAUUUUUGUUUCUAUUUAAUUAAUUUAUCAUCUUUAAUAAUUUUGAUUUUCAUUUUAGUCCUUAGCCUUUUUCUAAUUUUCCAUGGAUGAAUCAUCCAAAAAUAUCUACUAACUUUUUAUUAAUGGUCUAAUUACCAUAUAAGGGCCUCAAGUUUUGAAUUCUAUAGCUAUUUAAUCCUUCCAGCUACUAGAAUUUAACUUUUACAUUUUAUGCAAUUUGGUCCUUUCCGUAAUUAAACACAUAAUCGGUAAAAUUUUCUUAUCAAAAUUUUCACAUGACAUUUCUAACAUAUUAUGGACCAUGUAAUAAAAUAAAAAUAAAUUUUAUUUUCGGAUCGGAUCAGAUUUGUGGUCUCGAAACCACUGUUUCGAUUUCACUGAAAAAAUAGGCUGUUACAAACUUGAGCAUUUUGUUACUAAAUUUUAAAGAUGCAGGGACACACGACCAGACCACACGCCCAUGUGCUAGGCCGUGUGUCUGAGACACACACCCGUGUAGUUGAAAAUAUGCCAUUUUAAGGCCACAUUUCUCACACAUUCUUGAUUUCAACCUAGACACCUCAAAUUCAUACUCAUAUGCCAUAACAGAACCUUCAAUACAACCAAUUCUUAGUUCUAAAAAUGCCAUAUUAUUAUUACAUAUGUCCUAAAAUUCUAAACUACUACAUUAAUCAAUUCACCUAUUUGAUUACUUACAACAACCAUAUUUUAUCAACUUAUUCACCAACCUACCUAUAAAUUUAUCUAUCAAUUAAUCACAUCUAAAAAUAUAUCAAGCAUGAUAGAACUACACAUACAUUUUUAAGUUGCUUAAGUGAACAAAACAUCAUUCAUACAUUUAUACAAGCUAACCUUGAUUAAAUACACACCAACCCUAUACAUGCCAUAUAAACCAUAAAGUAAGUUUCAAAGACUAUCGGAAUAUGCUGGAUAGUGUGACUUGUUGUGCUGAUCCGAUCUCCCGACCUUAUAUUAAUCUACAAAGACAUUAAACAACACAAGUAAGCUUAAUGAAGUUUAAUAAGUUCGAUGGCUUAAACAUAAUUCUUACCGAGCCUACUAUAACACAUCAAUUAAAUAAAUUCAUUCAAUAUAACUUCUUUCCAAUCACAACUUCAAUCGAUGAAUACACUUAUUUCAGAUCAAUACCAAUAAUAUCAAUAAGUCUUCCAAAAUCAACUCCAUAUGUCACUUACCAAACCUUACCGAUUCAGAGAACGGUUUACGGAUAUGAGUAUAUCGUUUUUAGAAGCCCGAAGGCUAAACAGAAGCACAUAAGUGAUAAAUAAAAACCCAUAAAGGUUGAACAAAAGCUCAUAAGAGCUGAACAGAAACCUAAUAGGGUUAAACAGAAGCUGAACGAAAACUCAUAUGAGCUAAACAGAAACUCGUGAGAGCUAAACGAAAAGUAAACACAAAAGUUCGCAACAAAUGCUGAACCUCGAUUUACUUGGGUAAUAUUUGUCGUCAAUUCUUCCUUUGCUGCCUUUUGCCACAUAACGAUUGUACUCAAUCUCGUUUUCCAUUUAAAUGCGGAUAUUCACUUCAAAUUUAUAAAUUUAACAAUAUUCCAUUGUUCAACAAUAUACUAAAUACAUAAUAUCAUUUAUCAAUUCAAUAUAAUUAUUAAAUAUAAAAUAUAAAAUUACUCAUUCAUUAGCAUAUAUUUUAGUUCCAAUUCACUUCACAAUUAAUACCUCUUAAUUUUUUAAAUUACAUAAUUACCCUAAUUUUUACAACUUUUGCAAUUUAGUCCCCUUACUAAUUAGUCCAUCAAAUGAACUAAUUUUUCUCAAUUGAUAAUUUAUCUAAAUAUUCUAGGAUAUCUUACAACCCUUGAUACAUAGAAAUUUAAUACCAAACCCUAAUUCUUUAAUUCUUCACAAUUUACUCCUAAAAUCAAUAUUUUACAACAAAAUUAAAGCUUUAAAUCCAUGUUAUUUCAUCACAAAUAUAUAGUAUUCAUAAUGGUAACUUUCAAAUUUUCCAAUAAAAUUAGAAAUUAAUGAAAUAGUUAGUUGGACCUAAUUGUAAAAGUUUCAAAAAAAUAAAAAUUUCAAGAAAAAUGUAAGAAUUGAACUCACAUGAAGCUAAAAUAUGAAAAACCAGCUUAAGGAGCUCUCCUAUGGCUGUUUUUGGCUAAAGAUUGAUGAAGAAAUGUCUAGAAAAUAAAUUAGCCAUUUGUUUUAUAUUUUUUCUUAAUUUCACUAAAUGACCAUUUUACCCUUAAUUCAUUUUAUUUUAUUUCCUUCCUUGCUUAUGCCGCCUCAUGCCUAUAUUUUAGGCUUAAUUGCUCUUUAAGUCUUCCAUUGUUUAACAUUUAUGUUAUUUAAUCACUAUUUCUUUUAAUUAGCAAGUUUUGCACAUUUUUCAAUUUAGUCCUUUUUAUUAAUUAACUAUCAAAACGUUAAAUUUUUCUAACGAAACUUUAAUACUACCGUAAUGACACUCUAUAAAUAUUUAUAAAAAUAUUUAUGGCUCAAUUUAUAAAAUCAAGGUCUCGAUACCUCGCUUUCUAAACCACUUAACCUAAUAAAUCCUUAUAAAACAGAAAUUAAUAACUCAAAAUCAUUCUAAAAUCAUAUUUAACUCGUAAAUACUAAAAAAUAAAAUUUACAAGCUUACUCUUCAGAUUUAGUGGUCUCGUACCACUGUUUUCGACACCACUAAAAAUCAGGCUGUUAUAGUAUGAUUUUGGGUCACAAGGUUUUCCACACAACCAUGUGUCACAUACGGGUUGGUGACACGGUCGUGUGCCAUUGGAUUAUAGGUUGCUUUUAGAUCACACGGUUUUAGAUUGUCACAAGGGCUGGCCACAUACCUGUGUGAGUAUUUUAGAUUUGGUAAGUCUGUUUGCCAUACAGUUACAGUUAGUUACACGGCCCAGUCACACGGUCAUUUAACUUUUGUUGGAUUUUUACACUUUGACCCACACGGCCUCAGUGUGUUACAUGGCCUAGAUACACAGUAGUGUGACUCAAUGUUACAUGGUUUAAGUCUAUCACACAACUUGGCUACACGGCCGUGUGACCUCUAUUUUAUACUUUUGCCUCUCUUUUGUAUAAAGUUUCAAAUUAGUCCUUGUUUGGUUCUGAAUUGAUUUUAGAGUUUUCGUAAGCUCGAUUUAAGCUCAAAUUUGUAUGCAAAUCGUGUUUUAUUUGAAUGAAUGUGAUUUAAUGAAUGUUAAGAUGAAUAUUUGAUUUAAAUUCACAUGUUCAUAUUUUUUUAUUAUUGUAGCAUCCUAUAACCGCAUUUUGACGACAGAGGCAAGUGAGGGGUGUUACAAACCUCAUGUUUCACACGAGCAGCAAUCAAAUGUUGAUCUUCAUUAUUCAAAUGUGUUCAAUCAUUUCUAACCCAAAUUUUUCAAUGUCGUGGUUUUCUUAUUCCAUUCAUUAUUCUAACAGGUUUUGUAGCUAAGUUGAACUUCUUCCAAUCUCACAUCAUUCUAUAAUAAUGGGGUCUAAUAUGUCCAUCUUUCCCACAAUAAUGGCAUACAAUCUUUCUAAAGUUUUUAUUCCCUACCUUAUGACAAAAAUAAGAACCCACAGGUUUAACUUUUAAAAAAAAUAGGAGGAGCAUCACAUAAUAUGUAAACAUCCAAAAUCAAGCAUCACAUUAGGCUCAAGUUCAUGAACAUUCAAAAUAACACAUAUACAAUACGAAUCCUAUAUACAUGCCACAUAAUCGAGUUUAGAAAAAAUAAAAGACUACCGAAUUGAAGGCUUUGUAGUGUGAGCUUCGAAGUGAUCUGAUCUCUUCGUUCUGCAAAAGAUAACUAAAAGCAGAGAAAAUACAACAAAGUAAACAUUGUGUGUGCUUAGUAAGUUCAUAGGAAUUAAAACAAUAAACUCACCAAAAUUUCUAAUUAAUAUAACAACUUUCCUAUUAUCACAUUUCACAUCAGUCAAGUGAGCUCACCAGUUAUAAUUUUACAAUAUUUCAAUACAUGCAAUACAUUUUCAUUUAGUAUCAUCCUAUCGAAAGCAUUAAAUACAUACGUCAUUUCAUCAUUUCAAACAUAUAGUCAUUUCCAAUUAAAAUAUAUUAUCAAUCAGAUAUUUUAUGUUUUACAAUAACCAUAUAUUCUGAUGAACAAUAAUAAAUAGAUACAUAUAUGGAUACGCAAGUAACCACCAAAAACACACCAGAUUGCUUAUUCAAGCGAUAACUUCGAAACACACCUAAGCACCAAAGUGCUAAAUACAUCCCCCCAGAACACACCAAGAUCUCCGUAGAGACAAUCAGUAACAGUGGUCUCUGUAGAGACAAAACUCGAUAUUCACAACAAAUGUUGGAUUCUGGUUUAAACAGUGAAUUUUUCGUACAUCAGUAUCAUCUCAUAUCAUAUCUCGUACAAUGCACAACUAACUCUAUUGAAAUCUCAAUUGUAUCCUAUCCUAUCUUAAGUUCAUUUUGGUACAUUUAAAAAAUUAGUUCUUUUUUUUUACAAUUCAAUCCAUCUCUCACAUUUUUGUACCAUUUUGCAUACAAUUCAAAACACAUUCAAAUUAUAUAAAUUCAUAAUUCAAACACAUACAUUAAAUUUACAUAUGCAACUAUACCAUUUGAACUUAUCUACAAAAACUGCUAGCGAGUUGAAGUGUAUGGACUAUUUAACAAUUCCCUAUUUUUCUUGAUUAUCUACUAGUUGAUUCAAAUCUUAAUCUAUAUGAUAAUUCAUUUCAGUUUAUCAAUUUAAAAUGUAUUAUAACAGUUUAUUUCAUGCAUAUCACAAUUUUAUUUUAUUUUAUAGAAAUUUCCUAAAGUUUUGCAUUUUAUUCAAUUUAGUCCUUUAAGCGAAAACUAUUAUAUCUUUCACAUUUAAGUCCCGUUUUGCAAUACAAUUUCGAUGAUAUCCUUAUAAAGCCCUCUAAUAUCUAUAAUUAUAGAAAUUUCAUGCUAAUUUUGAAUUAUUUUCAUUUUAGUUCCUAUACUCAAAACUCGCAUUUAAACUUACAAAUUAGUCCAUUCUUCAUUUCUAAGCUUAAAAGCUACCACUUAAACACCAAAAACUUCAAAAUUUAUCAAAGAAAACAUUUAAAAUCUUUAACAGUUUUACAAAUUAAUGCUAGAAUUAACUAAAUCGAGUUACAACAAUCUCAAAAACAUAAAUUUUAUAUUUAAAAAAAAAAGGGGCUUCAAAAACACUUACAUGCAAGUGUUGGACCUUCAAGCUUCAAAAAUGUCUUCUUUUCUUUAUUUCUUAUGGACAAAUAGUGGGGGUGUAACAGCCCGUUUUUCAAUGGUGUCGAAAACCAUAGUUUCGGGGUCACCAAAUUUGACAAGUAAGUUUGUAAAUAUUAUUAUUUAAUAUUUACAAGUCAAAUAUGGUUUUAAAAGGAUUUUUGAUGAAAAAAUUUAUGCCAUUUGAAUGAUUAAUUAAGUUCAAGUCGUAAGACCCUAAGAUCAAGUGGUUCUAGAAAACGAGGUAUUGGCACCUCAUUUCUAUAAUUUGAUAAAAAUAUUUACGGAGUGUCAUUAAGGUGGUAUUAAAGUUUCGUUGAAAAAUUUUAACGCUUCGAUAGUUAAUUAAUUAAAAAGGACUAAAUUGUAAAAGAUGUAAAAUUUAAUCACUAUUUGAUUUGUAUGAUUAAAUGGUUAAUUAAAUAAAGGAAAAGGGACUUAAAUGGUAAUUAAACCAUGGUUAAAGUUUCCAAGCGGUGGUGUUAUGAUUGAAUCCACUAGCUUUUGGAUUAAUUGUUCUUUUGGUCCUAAUUAAUUUGGGAUUAAAUUGUAAAUAAGUUUAUUUAGUUAGAAUUUAAUUAAAUUAAAGGACCAAUUGUGAAAUUAAGCCUUCCUUUGAUGAUAAUUAUGCCAUAUAUUUAUGUGAUAGACAAAUAUGGACAUGACUUUGGUGUUUUAUUUAUUUAUUUAACCAAGGGCAAAAUGGUAAUUUGAUAAUUAAAUUAAAUUAAUAUAAAAUCAAAAUGUUUUAUAUUUAUUUUGAUGACUUCUUCUUCACGAAUGAAAAAGCAAAAAGAAACCAUUGAAGCUUGAAGUUUCGAUCAUUCUUUUGAUGUUGCAUGUAAGUUCAGUUUAGCCCCGUUUUUUAAUAAUUUUUAUGUUUUUGAAAUCGUUGUAACUAGGUCCAGCUAGCCCGUACCGUCAGUUUUGAAACUGUUAAAGAUUGUGAAUGUUGCCAUUGAUGAAUCUAUAUGAUUUUAGUUAUUAAAUGAUGAAUUUGAGAAGUUGGUUGAUAGUUAAAAGCAUCUUGUUAAGUAAUUUUGAUGAAUUUUCUAAUUAAGCAUUAACUUGUUAAAAUAGAAAAAAUACAAUGGUUUUUUGUGAAAUUAUUGCAAAAAUGGGCUGUAAUGAAUGCCAUGAAGAUUCGGCUAGCUUGGGUUUGCAUUAAAAAUGGUUAAUUUGCAUGUUUUAGGCUCAGGACUAAAUUGAAUAAAAGUAAAAUGUUAGGGUUAAUUUUGUAAAAUUAUAAAAAAUAAAUUUCAUAAAAUAAAUCAUUUUAUUGUCUGAAUUAAUAAAUUGAAUGAAUUUAUUAAUUUAGAUCAAAGUCGAAUGGAAAAUCGAGGAGAAAGGAAAAUUACCAAAAAGCCCCUAUACUUUGACAUUUCUGUAAUUUAGCCACAUAAGUUCAUACAAUUAGAAUUUAACAUCGAUAUGAAUUUUUGAGUAGAUUAAUGUGGUACAAAUUGUAUAUUUAUUUUUUUUAUUUUUGAUAAUUAAUGGUAAUUUGAGAUAUAAUAUUGAAUUUGAUUACUUGGAUUAGAUUGAACGUGGAGCAUUGGUGUGUUGGAGGAUUGGCUCUUGUGAGCAUCUGGUGUGUUUAGUUGGACUGAUAAUGUACUCAUAUCUAUAAGUUGUUCUUCAUAUGAAAAAUCUCGGUAAGAUAAAUUGUUUAAUGAAUUUAAAAGAUUUGUUAUUUAUUGAAUAUUGACUUGAACAUAAAUGAAAAUGAGAUAUGCUCUGACUAAAUGAGAAACAUAAGUUAUGUACUCAUGAAUUGAGUAUUGAAUGGCUAAUGCCAAUGUAUAAACAAUUGUGGUUUGAUAUGUGAAUAGUAGUUUAUAUAGCAAUUGUGUGAAUUGGGACAUUGUUAAUCAAAUAAAAGAUGUUAGCAUGUGCAAUUUGAGUAUAAUACGAAAUGAUGUUGAAAUGAUGUGCUAAUAUGUACGAAUUCAAAAAGUUGACAUAUGAUAGUUGUGAUCUUAGUCAUUAAUAUGUGUUUAUAUUUUAAUUAUGCCUUUUGUAAUUCUAUAAUCCGAACCUAAUUGUUAAUUGUUGUCAUUCAAUUUAAUGCAUAUGUUAAGUGUUUGAUGUGAGUAUUUGACAUUUUGAUAGUUGAUUGAAAUAGAUUGAAUUGGUAUAAAAAUUAUGAAUGUGGUGAUUAUUUGAAUUGAAAUGAAUAUAUGUGUGUGUGUGUGUGUGUGUGUGUGUGUGUGUGUGUGUGUGUAAAUGUGAUAAUGUGCAAAUAUGAUAAUUGGAUAUUGGUUGUAUUUGGAAGUGGAUUGGAACCCUAUUAAUUAUAUCAGGCUGAGUCAGAUAUAGAUGGCAUGCCAUAGGAUAGGAAAAGUUUAGGGAUUUCUUCGACUUCGAGUCGAUGAGGCACUGGGUGCGAAUUUACUUUGGUUUAACCGAUGAUACACUGUAUGUCAAUUUAUAUAACGCUAGGCUCAGAUACUACUUUGGAUUUAUCUGAAAAGGCAUUGGGUGCCAAACUGGUGUGUUGGUUGGAUCCGUGUAUCUAUCCGAGUCUGAGUCGUGUUAAUAAGGGUAAUUAAAUAAAACGAUACUAUGAUUGAUAUUGGACCAUAUCGUAUGAGAAUUGAAAAUGGGAUAGUAAUUUGAAACAUGAAAAUAAGUUAUAUACAUAAAUGCACUAACUUAUGUAUUGAUGAUAGUGAUUAGGCUUAUGUCAAGCUUGAGAUUAUGAUUAAUGUAUAUGCUUAUGCCUGGUAUUAUACAAAUGAAACAGUAAGUUCAAAACUGAAAUGUGAUAUGAUGAAAAAGGGAUUGAUGAGUUGAAUAAUGUACUUAUGUAUGAGAAAUUACGUAUGUUAUGGUUGAACUUACCUAUGUUAUGAAUAAAUAUAUUAAUUAGUUAAUUGAUUUUGUUAUUUAAGUUUAUAUUUAGUAAAUGGAAUGGAAAGUAAGUAAAGGAAGUUAUUCAAAGUAAGUAAAAGAAGUUAUUCAUAGUUUUAUGAAAAUGUUAAUGAUGGUGUAAAACGUUUUAUAAAAUCUUAUUAUGUUAGGAAUGAACAGAUAUAUGAUGUUGAUAGACUUACUCAUUUAUGAGUUAGUGGUUAUGUAGUUGAUAAAUCUUGAGGCAUUGAUAUAGCUUUAUAUUUAUCAUAUAAAGCUUAUUAUUGAAUCAGAAUAUUAUGUUUAAAGUUUGUAUGAGCUUACAAGCAUUCAUUGCUUACGUAGUUGUUUAUCCCUUUACAGAUUAUUGGAAGCUCGAUUGGGUUGGAAGCUCGUUGGAGAUCUAUCACACUAUCCAACGAUUAUAUUGGUAGAUUUUGAUAUUUUGGUUAAGGUUAUAAUGGCAUGUAUAGGUUGAUUAUGUCUAAUGUUUAAUUGAUGAUUUUGGUAUAUAUGUAUGUCAUUUUGGUUGACAAUUAUGGCACGAAAUGUUGCCUUGAAUUUGAAGUACUUAAGGUACUAUUGAUAUCUUCUGGGUUAUGGUUAAUAUGGUCAAUUUGAUGCAUGUUUAGAAAUAACCAAAGUUGGUAUAUGUUGUAUCGAUCUCAAUAUGGCCAAGACAUGGUAUGUUUUGGAAAAGUCUAGAAUAAAUGUGCAUGAUUGAAAUAUGGUAUGCCUAAUAUGAUAAGGUUGGUAUGUGUCAAUUGUGUUAUGUAUUGGUAUGGAAACAAGUCAGUUGGUAAAUGGUAUAAAUGUGGUCAAAUAUAGUGAGAUUAUUUUUGAUAUAGCAUGGAAAUAGUAUUGAGAUUAAUUAGAUAUGUAUGGUUAAGGUUUGAACAAAUAUGAUCAUGUAUAUAUAUAAGUUGAUGCUUGAUGAUUGAGGUGCCUUUUAGCAUAUUGGUUGUAUGAAGAUUUGGUAUGGAGAUUAGUCAUUCUUUGCAUAAUUUGAGUAUGUUUAAAGGCCUUGUAUACAUGUACAAAUUUCUUGUAGGUUUAUGCUUUAAAGGGUGAAAGAAAUGGCUUGGAAGUGGUCAUUUUCUUGUCCACACGACCUAAGACUCGGGCAUGUGUCUCAACCGUGUGUGACACACGACCAGGUGACAUGACCGUGUGUCUCCUGUAAUUUUUAAAGGGUUACAAGUCAAGCUAUUAUAUGGCCUAGCACACGACCUAACACACGGGCAUGUGAGGUUAUUUCGAAGGGUACAUAGCCUAGCACACGGUUGUGUGACUUGGCCGUGUGACCAAGUCAUAGAGUUCCACGGCCUAGGACAUGGGCAUGUCUCCCUACCGUGUAAGUCACACGGCCUGACCACACGGCCGUGUGACCCCUGCAACUUUGAAAUUUUUCUAUGUUUUUCGAAAAUUCUCUGAGUUUCCGAUUUAGUGCCGACUUGUUUCUAAUGCGUAUUUAGGGCCUUGAAGGCUUGUAUAAGGGACAGUAUAUAUAAUUCUGAUUGGUUUUAUUAUGAAUAUUGAUAUAUUAUGAAACGUUUGAAAUUUCUACCUGUUUGAUCCGUAAACCCUGGUAAUGCUCUGUAACCUUGUUCCGGCGACGAAUACAGGUUAGAAGUGUUACAGGGGGAAAGAAAAAUGGUUGAAGAUGACCAUUUCUUUUCAUAUUUUAAUGCUUAAAGUUUUAUAAUAAUAAAAUUUACAUUAAUUUUAACAUAUAACUUACUAAAUAUUAAACACCAACCGUGGACUAUAAUAAAAAGAUGGAUAAUUGUCAUUUCAAACAUUAAUAAAUUUUUGUUUAAACCUUUUUAACUAGUAAAAAUUAAUAGCAAUUAUUUUUUUAUAAUUUUUCCAAUUUAGUCAUUAUACUUUAAUUACAAAUCGUUCAACAAAAUUAUAGGAAAAAAAGUCAAUAUAACACUAUAUUAUACUCAUAAAUAUUAAUUAAUAAUAUUUACGGGCUCAAUCAUCAAAAAUGGAGUUCUGAAAUCAUUUUUUUCGACACUACUGAAAAUAGUCUAUUACAAGAUUAAUAUUACAUAAAAUAAAAAUCUCCCACUCUCGUGCCUCACCCUCUCCCCUUCCUCCAUCGAACCUCUCCCUACCACCGUCCCCACCCUUCUCUCCCUCUUUCUCUUUCUUGAUCUUGUUGCAAAUUAAGGAAUUUAAAAUUAGCUUUUGCUAAUUACCUCCAACUCAGAACAAAAGUUACAAGGGUCAUCCUCAGCUAAAAUAAGCUGCUCCAAACCUUACCACUUUUCCAUUCCCAAUUUAACCAUCAACCAUACUACAUUCACCAUUGCAAAUCCUUAAAAAAAAUUAAAACAUAAGCACUGAAUAAAGAAGGAAAAAAAAUAAAGACCCACUUGAUUUGUAGAACAAAACCUCCAUUGUUAUCACUAUUCUCAUUCCCAUAGAUGGUAUUACAAUUAGGACUUUGAGGAUGAUGGUUUUCAUCCAAAGCUUCAGGCUUUAAACAAAGCAUCAUUGUAAGAAUGCCAACAAUGAAAAUCUAAUACACACUCAAGAUUGUAAUUUUAGUUUAAUUUCAUAAUUAGUGGUUCAUUUUCUUUCUUCUUCUUGCACCUGUUGAACACAUAGAAAUCUAAUGACUCCACCAACUACAGACGACCUUUUCAAGACAAAAAGAGAAGAAAAUCAACAUGGAAAUUAAUUUUUCCAACUGCUACAAAUAGGUCUAAAGGAAAAUGACAAAAGAUGAAGAGAGAAAUGGAGUACAAAUGGUAUGAUGGAGAGGGAGAAGUAGAGGGACGAGGGUGGGAAGGGAAGGGGAGGGUUUUUUUUUAUGUAAUAUUAAUAUUAAAUGAAAUUUAAAUUUAUUAUUAUAUUUUUUUGAAAAUAUUUAUGCUUUUUUAAUAUAUUUUUUGGAAUUUUUUUAGAAUUAGGAUAAAAUUAAGAACAUUUCUAAAUUUUGAAGGUUAAUUUUUUAAAAUUAUGACCAAAUCGAUUUAAUGUAAAAGUUAAUGGCUAAAUUUGUUAUUAUUCUAAUUUUUUCAACUAUCACUUAGCUUGCCUUUUGUGAUUUUAACGGGAGUUUCCAAAAUGACCAAACUAUGUAACAAGAGUACUUAAAUUACAAUUUUUUUAUUUUAUUUUAGGUACCUAAAAUGAAAAUUUUUUAUAAUUGAGUGACUAUCUAUAUAGUUUACCCUUUUAAAAAUCAUAUUUGACUUACUCUUUGAAAUUAAAAAUCAAAUUUAACUUCAUCUUUGAUCUUUCUUGAUUUACUCCCACGAUUUACCUUGAUUUUCUCUAUUUAUCGUUGCACAAGAGCCUAUAAAUAUCACACCUACCAACAUACUUCAAAGGCACCAAAAAAAUCUCUUUUUUUCUCCCUCUUUUAAGUAUUUUCUUAUUAUUUUUCGUUGUUCCUACAAACAAAUUAUCUUUAAGAAUAAUGUCCAGCAUGUCUUAAGUUUAAAAAUUCAAAUUUUUGUUUUCUUAAUUCAUUCAAGUUAUCAAAGUUGAGGUUGUACCAUUUAUAUUGCAUAUAAUCACAAAUUCACAUGCUAAAUUACUGAAGUUAACUAUGUAUUUAACAUAUUAAUCACAACAAACAACUUUCAUUACAAUCAUUUUUAACUCAUUAAAGUAAAGUAAAACACAUGUUAAAUUAUAUUUGGCAAAUUAAAAUAUAUGAACUUGGUUCAAAUAAAAAUACACAAACAUCAUGAUUUGCCAAACACUAAACACAUCCAAAUGUUACAACUUUGUUCAAACAAAAUUCAAGAACUAUUUCCACUUAGCUAUGGCUAACUCAAAUACACAUUUCCAUCCCUUUCUUCAUGUUAACAAAUCAAACAAAAAAAAAACAAUUUUACAUAAGUUCUUGUUAGCUAUUUUUCAUUGGUUAAUAAAACAUCAAAGCUGAAUUUUCAACAUUCCAAUUUCAUUAUUUAAAUCUUCAUUAUAUGAUGAGUUCACUUUAUUUGUCUCAACACCAUUAUCCAUUCUUAACUCUACCUUCUCUCUAGCAAUUAUUUUGUAAUGUUAGAGUAAAGGGUCUGUUAGUCUAUUACUAAGUUGUUAUCUAAUCUAGUAAAUUGUUAGCAGCAGUUAAGCAUACACUUGUAUAUAAACUCUUUCCCUAUACCUAUCCAAGCAAGAAUGAAAUACUAGUAUUGCUUAGUAAAUCUUGUUUACCUCAUAAUUGUUUCUUUUAUUCAAUUCAAUAGAGUUAUUAACAUGGUAUCAGUCGCCUGAUUUCCUGGAACCUCCUCUCUUUGCAAAUCCAUGGCAAAUUCCACCAACUCUACUUCCAUUGCCUUCUUCUCUAGCUCUCGUUUGAUUUAAUCAUUUCCUCACCAUGCUAUAGUGAAGUUAGAUGAUGUCAAUUUUAUGCAAUGGAAGCAACAUGUACAAUUGAUCAUUAAAGGUUAUGAAUUGCAAGGUUUUCUAGAGGAUACGUUACAUUUCCACUUUGCUUUGUGUCUUCUCUAAAUGGAGUUUUAACUCCAAAUCCUGAUGCAUCUCUCUUUAUUCAACAAGAUAAGUUACUUGCCUCUUGGCUUCUAUCUACGAUUAGUGCCUCACUGCUAUCUUGUUUCACAAUUGCUAAAAUAGCUUGUGAAGUAUAGAGCACUGUGAAUCGGCUAUUUGCUACUGCCACUGGUGCUAAAUUUCCAGAAUUAAGCAUGACCUACACUCUAUCAAGAAAGAAGCGUUAACUAUCAAAGAAUAUAUUGCCAAGAUCCAAAAUACCUAUACUUUGCUUGAGGCAUCUGGAUCUGUCGUUUUGAAGGCUAAGAAGGUAGAGGUUAUGCUUACCGGUCUCUCGUCAGAUUUUGAUGCUGUGUUAACAUUAGUGUCUUUCUUUUCUGAGAAACUUUCGUUUCAAAAGAUCAUUGAUGUCCUCUUGGAGUUCAAGAGUCGUCAGACUCGUACGGUGCAUGAUGUGUCAUUUCAUGCCAACAUGGUUGAGGCUCCUUCGACUACAGCAGGGGUAGAUUCUGUUCGUGGAUGUGGUCGUUCUUCCUCUGCUUCUCAUAGGCGUGGCUUUCGACAAUGGAUUCAAUAUUAGAUCUGUAGUCAUUAUAGUUAUCUGGCACAGCGGUGUUUCUAUCACUACAACUGUGAUUACGACGGUCUAUCUCUUCCGACCGCAGCACGUUACUUAUCUACUCUUGAUGGAUGAGAAUCUCGUGGAGAUAUGUUCACUCAAUCUGAUGGUUUUGGUGGGUCUGUGUAGUAUGUUGAACCGUCGAUGGUAGCACUGAUACCGUUUAUUGGUGGCUUCUCGUGGAGAGGGUGGCCUUCGAUGCAAAAUUAUGCUUCACAUCUACCGUAGGUUAGUGUUUCCAAUCCUUUUCACUAUAAUUCAUUUGAUGAGUUAGGCCAUGUAACUGGGCCUGAUAAUGACCCAGGUUUGAAUGGUCUAUAUGGGACUUCACAUAUGCCACGUGAGGUGGGUCAGCAAAUUGGGCCCUCUACUACUGUUCACAAACCGCCUGCUACUGGUAAAACGGCUGGGCCUUCUGUUUUUUAUGGGCAAGCUGCUGCUAGUCCAAAACUUAGCUAAACCUCUAUGAGACCGAAUGUUAAUUGUAUUGGUCUUGAAGACCACACAUCUACUAUACCAAAUGGUGGGCCCAGUGUUCCGUGGCAGACUAAACCAAGAGCCCAAGUUUUUUAUUUUGAGUCCUCGCCGUCCUCGCUUUGUAUUGCGUUGCCCCGUAUUCCUGACUUUAAUGCGUCUAUUUUUUGGCUGCUUCUAAAUCAAAUGCUAAUACCACUUAGUAUGGUUCUAAUUUUGAUAAUAAUGAUUCAUAUGUUCCUCUGCCUGUUAGAGCUUCAUCUUGGUAUUCAUCUUCGGGGGCUAUACACCACAUUUGUCAAAAUACUUCUAGUUUAAAUGGGUCUACUCCAUACUCAUGUACUUAUUCUAUUUUAAUAGGUAAUGGAGCUCCUGCUAAAAUCUCAUAUAUUGGAAUUAUAUUUUAUCUACAGAGAAAAAAUUACUACAUCUGACUAAUGUUUUAUGCGUGCCAAGUAUCCAAAAGAAUCUGAUGUUUGUUUUUCAGUUGGCUAAUAACAAUAAGUAUUUUUUGAAUUUCACCUGUCUUAUUGUGUUAUUAUGGACAUCCAGACUUAGGAAAUUUUGUUCGGGGCCACACUCGUAAUGGUCACUAUCAACUUUCGGCCAUUUCAUCUGUUUCAUCUGAUCUAGUUUCGUCUGUUCACAACACUAGGAUUCAAGAGUGUACUACCACUAAUGAUGUUUUUAUAUUGUGGCAUCAAAGAGUUGGUCAUCCUCCCGCCUUGAUUGUUAAAAUUGUUCUUGAUAAAUGUCAAAUUAUUACUAAUAAAAAAUUUCUUGAUAAUAUUUGUAUUGCAUGUCAAAAAGGGAAAUCACAUAAAUUGUCUUUUUCAUUCUACUACUGAGUAAAUGAAUUUUUUUGAAUUGGUUGUUUCUGACUUGUGAGGACUGCCUUCGGUUGUCUGUAAGGAAAAAUUGUACUAUGUUUCAUUUAUUGACAUGUGUAGUCGUUUCACGUGGAUUUAUCUGAUUCAACGUAAAUCUUAAGCAGUUGAGUGAUUUAUUCAGUUUCAGAAAAUGGUCAAAACUCAGUUUGGAAAGGAAAUUAAAAAUUUUCAAAGUGACUAGGGAGGUGAAUUCCAUGCCUUUACAUCAGCUUUGGCUAAUCAUGGUGUUCUUUAUCGUUUCUCCUGUCCAUAUACGUCCGAACAGAAUAGUGUUGUUGAGCGUAAACAUCGCCACAUUGUUAAGACCGGUAUUUCACUCUUGGCCCAAGCCAAUUCGCCCAUGGAUUACUGGGGAUAUGUCUUCUGUAGUGUCGUUCAUUUCAUAAAUAGUCUACCUACUUCAGUUCUGAAAGAUUAAUCUUCGUAUAAAGCUCUUCAUGGUCAAGAACCUACAUAUGAUCAUUUAAGGAUGUUUGGUUGUUGUUGUUUCCCAUAUCUACACCCAUUUUUACACCACAAGUUGGACUUUCGUUCCCAGCCGUAUAUAUUCUUGGGGUACAAUUCAUAACAUAAGGGUUAUUAUUGUCUCACACCAGAUGGUAAGGUCAUUCUCUCUCAUCAUAUUGUUUUUGAUGAAUAUUGUUUCUUGUUCAAUUCACCUACAUUGGACACUGCUCAGCAUAGUCCGUAUGUCACCACAUAUGUUCCUAUAGUUCAGUCCUCUCAGUCCACGGUGGCUGCUACUUCAUCCACUGCAACCUCACAUUCUGCUUCCAUCUAUAGUCCCCAACAGUCUAUACCGGUUGAAUCACCUGCUACUGUAUCUGACGAAUUGCCAGUUGAAGUAGAUUCUGAUCAUGUGGUUCACUACCUUUUCGCCUCUUCAAACAGGGAUAGUUCGCCCAACCCAGUUUCUUCGACCACUCCACUUAUUCCUUCAGGAAAUACUCACUCUAGAGUUACAAGGUCUAAAGCAGGUAUUUUUAAACCCAGGGUUUUAACUGUUGAAACUACUGAUUUUGAGCCGCACACAAUUAAGAAAGCUCUUACUAAUCCAUAUUGGAAAUUGGUUGUUCAAGUUGAAUUUGAUGCCUUAAUGGCUAACUCAACCUAGGAGCUUGUUGAGUUACUGCUUGGUCAAAAAAUGAUCGGGUGUAAGUGGCUUUUUAAAAUAAAAAAAAUCCUAAUCGGGCGAUUGCUUGGCAUAAGGCUCAAUUGGUGGCAAAGGGCUGUUCACAGGUACCCGAUUGUGACUUUAAAGAAACGUUUAGUUCGAUGGUCAAACCGACUAUUUGAACCAUAUUAUCGAUCGUUGUCUCCAAUAGUUGGAAACUUCGUUAGGUCGAUGUGAAUAAUGUCUUUUUAAAUGGUGAUCUCUCUGAUGAAGUAUUCAUGUAGCAGCCAUCGGGAUAUGCUCAGUCUGGACCAAAUAGUAAGCUAUUAGUGUGUCGUCUGACAAAGGCAUUAUACAGGUUGUGACAAGUUCUGUACGCCUGGUUUGAUGAAUGGAAGCACUUUCUUAUUUGUAGUGAUUUCUUCUUAUCUAAAUCUUAAUGUCCUUGUUUGUUCAAGUUACGUUCAACUACAGCGCUUAUGUUUUGGUCUAUGUGGAUGAUAUUAUUGUUACUAGAAGUUCAACUGACGGAAUAAAUAGUUUAUUCAGCAACUACAUAAAGAUUUUUCACUUAAAGACAUGGGCAAGCUUCACUUCUUCUUAGGCAUUAAAGUCACUCGAUCUUCCACUAGGAAUCUCCACUUAUGCCAAUGCAAAUAUAUUCGAGAUCUGCUUGACAAGAGUUCUUUAGCUAAUGCAAAAAGUGUUCAUACACCAAUGGUCAGUUCUUCUGCUUUGUCUAAAAAUAAAAAAGAUCGUCUUGUUGAUCCUACUGAAUAUAGAAGCUUUGCGAGUGCACUUCAAUAUGUGGUCUUAACUAGGCCUGAUAUAGCUUAUACGGUAAAUUGUGUUUGUUAAUUCAUGCAUACACAUACUACAAUACAUAUGGUAGCUCUAAAACGGAUCUUGAGGUACUUGUAUGGUACUAUUGAUUAUGGGUUAGUUUUCCGACCAUUUAAUAGACUGUCUUUAGUUGGGUAUGUUGAUGCCAACUAGGGUCUAGAUUUUGAUGACCGCCGGUUUACGACAAGCUAUUGUGUCUACUAUGGUCAUACACUAUCUCCUGGUGUUCUAAGAAACAACAAGUGGUUUAUCGAUCUACGGCUAAAGUUGAAUAUUAAAAUCUAGUAGCUACUACUAAUGAUAUUACUUGGUUAGUCUCUCUGCUAAAAGAACUACAAAUUCGUUCUGUCGAUCCACAGGCAAUUUAGUGUGACAAUUCUAGUGCAGUAGCUAUUGCCGCCAAUCGGGUCCUACGCUCCAAAUUCAAACAUGUUGAACUUGAUCUAUUCUUUGUACGUGAAAAGGUGGCUGAUGGUUCCCUAGUUGUCGGCAAGGUGCCAACCUAUGACCAAGUUGCUGAUAUUCUCACAAAACCAUUAUAUGUUUCUACUUUUGCUCGAUUUCAUAGUUUACUUCAGGUCUUACCCAUUAAGAAGCUAGGUGAAUGUUAGAGUAUGGGAUCUAUUAGUCUGAUACUAAGUUGUUAUCUAAUAUGGUAUAUUGUUAGCAGCAGUUAAGCAUACACUUGUAUAUAAACUCUUUCCCUGUACCUAUCCAAACAAGAAUGAAAUACUAAUAUUGCUUAGUAAAUCCCGUUUACCUCUUAAUUGUUUCUUUUAUUCAAUUCAAUAGAGAUACUAACAUGUAAGCAUCUCAUAUAUCAAUCAUCACUUCUCUUACUUAAAUUACAAUAAAAAGGUCAUACCAAUGAAAAAAAUACAUCCACCAACCUAUACAUUUCACAAAAAUUAAUAUCUAAUUUACUAAAAAAUCCAAUGAAGUUAUUAACAAAAAAAAAUAACAAAGCAUGUAAUUUCCGUACUCAUAAAAUUUCCUACCCUUAACCUUUCCAUAAAGUUUGUCUAGGAAUUUUACUCCGACAAUGGCACAUAAUAGUUGAGAUACGAUCUUCAAAAUUUGAAAGAUUGCUCGUAUUCCCGCUUUCAAAAAGCUAAAAUUUCAAAUACAAUAAAAUAAAUUAGCAUCAACAAAAUGGGUAGGAACAUAAUUAACAUAUAAAAUAAAUACCAACUUACCCGAUUUUUAAAUCACCAAACAAAAUGGUUACUCGUAAACCUAAACACUACAAAUAAAGUGAAUUGGUGUUCUUUAAUACCAUGAUUUGCCCAAAAUUAUGAAAUAAAAUUUAACUACAAUAAAAGGGAGGGGGGAAGGGAGAGAGAAUCAUUGCCGGUUGUUAUUUAACACCAUUUUGUUGCCAAAACCAUCAACUAACUAAAAACAGAAGUACGAUGCCAAAGGAAAAUCACGUUUUUGGAAUAAAAAAUGUGUUCUUACCUUAUAAAUGAUUAUGUUGGGAUGUAUUUGUAUAAACAACAAAAUAGAAAAGGUAAAUAACAUUUAACACUGAUUUCAUGUGAAAAAUUCUUCCGAAAAGGAUAAAAAUUACAAGUAAAUGAGGCUUUGAUUUUUCCUUAAAUAAGUAAACAAACAAGUGUUAGACAAAACACGUUAGCUAAUUAAAUACAAGAUCUGAACAAAUAAUAUAAAAAAUAUUUAUAUUUAUGUAAAACACUAAAUCUGAAAAUAAUUAAAAAAAUAAAAAUAAAAUAAGGGAAUUGAGUUUUACUAAGAUGUUGAGGCAUGUUAUAGUUUUUUUAAGGCAAAUUUGGCCCACAUUGUGUGGGUGCACCCUCAACUUUAAUAAAUUUGGAAUUGUAUCCCCCUUGUGCACGCCCAAAUGAGAACAUUAAUUUAGUCAUCUAAUAAUUGCUAAGUUGGUUUACAUAUAUAUACAAGUUCCACACUUGAUUCCCAAUAAAUGUGGGAUUAACGCUUUUUAUUUUUCUCAACAUAAUUCACAAGUAGUUUACUUUGAGUGUUAAUUUCUCAUUCAUCACUCAACCAUUUUGAGCAUAUGAUAUACCGUUAUAAGGGUCUCAUAAAGUCGAAUAUAAAAUCAUAAUUUUAUGAUUCAACUCUUUACCUUUACCAAUCGAGAAUAUACCUCAAAGUUUCUAAAAAUUACAUUUUUUUAACAACAAGAAUACAAUAUGGAGAAAUAAACCUAAACGUACUAUAUGUACAAACCCAAAACCCAAAAACAUAACCCUACUUCUCAUAGAGUUCUCUAACAAAGGGGUACAAAAUUCUCUCCAUAAUUAUCACGAAUACUCUUACCAUAUCUGCUACUACAUCUUGUCGCCUUAAAAAAAAAAGGCUUUGUAGUACUACAUCUAUAAUUACCUCUUAAUUUGUCUUUCAAAAUAGGGAUACAAGACUUCUUUAAAUAAGUUAAGAUUAGAGGUCUAAUUAUAUUAAAAUACUCCUAGAAUAAUCAAAGUUUAACUAGGAGAAGAAACUCUAUUUAUGUGGGGAAACACGUCACUACGUUGCAACAUCUCCAUUUGUGUCGUCAUAGCAUCAUCUGUUUUAUAACAUCAAGAAGCUUCUCAUCAUGAUAUCGCCAUCUAUUUGACUAAAAAUACGAGACACACCUGAUAGUCUAAAAUAAAACUUGGGUGUUCUUUCAAUUAGGGUGCUGGAAUUAAGAAAAACUUUAAAAGAAAAUGGCAUUCUUCAGCUGGGAGGAGAGGGUAUCGAUUUAAGAAACAUUAAAAUGGAUUUAUGGUGAUGGGUGAAUGCUUAAUAAAAAUUUUAUAUUUUAAUCUCACUUCUCAUUCAAUUCCAUGCCACUUAAUUCAAAUAUAUAUAAUAUCAAAUCUUAGCUUAACAAUAAAAAUAAUAAUUUUUUAAUAAAAAAUUAUUUUUUUAUUUAAUAUACAUAGAUUAAUCUACUUAUUUUUCAAUAAAGGAAGUAAAAAUGUAAUUUAAGGGUUAAUAUAAAAACCUCCUUAAUACUUUUAUCAUUUUAUACUUUGCAUUGAAUAAUUUUCUUAAUUUUUAUAAUUAUAUUGAUAAUAUUAUUAUUAAAAUAACAAUAAUUAAAUAAUUAAUUAUUUAAUUAAAAAAAUUUAAACCCAGCGAAUUGAGGCCAUAAUUCUAGUGAAAUAUAGAACUCCCACACUCUUUUUCAGUGGCUUCUAAACUAUUUGUAGCUUUUCUAUGAUAUAUUAUAAUAACGUUUAUAGUAAUAAAUUGAAGAAAAUUAAAUUGAUUUUUUGGAUUUACAAGCCCGAAUUUAAAGGUGAUGCAUAUUUUAUUGAAGGUAGAGUAAAAAUAAAUAAAAUAAAAUUUCAAUAAUUAAAAAAAAUUAUAUAAAUAAUCACUUCACUAUUAAUAAUUUUCUUAUUAAAUCAUCAAUUUUAAAAAGUUAUAUAAUGGUCAACCGACUUAUAUUUUGUACGUUUAAAAUAGUUAAAUUCUCAAUUGUUGGUUGAUGAGAAUUUUAAGUUAUUAACUUUAUUUUUUUAAUAUUUAUUUUUAAUACACAUCAUUUUUAUGUCAUGAUAAUUAAAAAAUUAUUAACCCAAAUCACCCCACCCCGUCCAAUCCCCCUCCCCUCCUCCCUCCUCCCUCCUCCCGGCUCCCUCCCCCCCUAGCGCCACCAUUCAUAAUCCCCCCAUUUUAUCAAUACAGAAACUAACGACCAUGGGGCAAACCGGAAAACUUUGGAGGUGGAAGAGAAGUCAUCACCAAUGGCUACUUCAAUUCAGCCGAGAGGGAUGAGUGGAGAGGUAGGGUGGGGGUGAUUUGGGUUAAUAAUUUUUUUUUUAAUUAUUAUAGGACAAUGAAAUUAUGUUUAAUCAAUAGAGUAUAAUUAAAUUGUAAUUUUAUGUCAUGUUUAGUAGUAUAAAUUAUAGGUUAAAUUUUAUCUAUAUACUCGGCAUAAAUCGUGGAUUUAGUCUUUAUAUUUUAAUUUUAUCAGUUUCAAUCCCUAUACUUUUCAAUUUGGUCAUCUUAGUCCUUGUACUUUUCGGAUUUUUAAUUUUUAAUUCUGACCAAACAAUUCAAUUAAAUAUGUUUGGUUAAAUUCUACUAUUGAUCUUAUACUAUGUGUAAAGUUGUAGAUUUAAUAUAUGUUCUACAAUUUGAUCAUUCUUAGUUGCUAUAACUUUCAAAUUCCAAAAUUCCAAUCUUAGGGUCCAUUUUAUUUACAUGUAAAAGGUUUUACGAAAAAUAUUUUCUACAUUAUACUGUAUUUGUUUCACAAAAAAAUAUCUUGGUUAACAGAAAAUAAACUAUUUUUUUAGUAAAAUGACUUACCAUUUUAAAAAACUGUCAUAUAACUAAAAAAUGACAUUAUAAUGAACCUGAAUAUAACAAAACAUGACAUUAAACAUACGAUGAUAUGUUUGUUGCAUCAAAUUUUAAAAAUAUCUAAACUUAAUGAAUUUAAUAGUCAUUAUUUAGUUAAGGCUAAAAUUUAAAAUUUUAGAAAGUACAUGAAUUGAAAAAUGAUCAAACAAAAAUACACGAACUAAAUUCACAAGUUACGCAUAGAAUUAAUAACAUAAUUAACAUAAUUUGUAAUUACACAACUACAUAAUUUUAAAAAUUUUAAAAGAUAUAAAUUAAUUAUUAUAAAUUUAUCAAUAAUACUUCUCUAAGCAAAUAAUAAAAUUUAAAAUCUAUUCAUCGUAUAUAAUAUGUUAAACUAAGAAAAUAUCUGACAAUAUGAUUAUUAAUAAAAUUAAUAAGAAAAAUAAACAUCCUAAUUACUUUUAACCUUCCAUAUUUAUUUUUUUUCUCUAUGGAACAUUAAACAUAUACUCCUUGUUAUCGUCAAUUUGUCAUAAUUAAGUAUAAAUAACUAAUAAUAAAUAUUAUAUAAUUUAGUUAAAUUCAACAACGGGGGAAUUUGUGAGUCACCUAAAAUGUGAAAUUUAAUUUUUAGCUCUUUAAAUUUUAUAUAAAUUUAAGUUAGUAAAUAGUAAAAUUGUACUUUGGCCCCCAAAAUAAUAACAUUGACUUGGUCCUUUCAAAAUUGUAAAUAUAUAAUCUAUUAAAAUGGUAAAAUUGUAAUUUAACUCUCAUAAAAAUAUAUAACUGAAUUCUAGAUCUAAAAAAAUUUUCUAAUUUCACUCUGGUUAAAUUUAGUGUAGAUCAUUUAUAAUAAAUACUAUGCAAUUUAACUAAUUAUUUAAUAAAUCAAAAUGUAAGGAAAAUUAUAAUUUUGUUAUUCAAACAAAAUUAGUAAAAUAAUGUAUAAUUGUAUUUAAAAAUAAAAUAUGUCCUAAAAGAAAAACACUAUUAUUAUUAUAUAAAAAUUUCUUAAAUUUAAAUUUAUUAGACAAGGGCGACGUUAGAAAAUUUCUUUUAAGGGGGACCGAAAUUAAAUUGUAAUUUUUAAAAAAUUAAAAAAUUUAUAAUUUUUAGAAAGGUUAAAAUAUAAUUUAAAAUUUUAAAAAUUUUAAAGAGCGAAAAUAAAAAACGCAGCCCAGAUAAUUAGAACUAAGUGAAAUUAAACAUGUAAUUAUUUCAACUCUUACACCUCCCUUUAAAAAUUGAAGGGUAAUUAAUUAUAUUGAAAUCGGAAAAAUAGAAAUAAAAGAAAUAGUAAAGAUAAAUCAGCAAGGCUGAGGGAGGCUCAUUUUGAGGAUUUAAUCUGUUUAAAAAGGAAAAGAAAAGAAAAGCAUAAUAACUGGAACUGUAUAUUUACACAAUUUAUAGCAAGUUAAACAACCAAUUUCUUCUUUGUUUUAAUGUAUGACAAGAAUACAACAUACAUACAUGAAAUGGUAGAGAUUCUAAGGAGGGGCAGUUUGUAUGCCUUUUUUUUUUUUUAAAGUAAAGAAGAUGGAAAAUUCUGUGGGAAUUCAUCAUCACCACCUGCUUCUUUCUUCUUCACCUGCAAAAGAAUGUUCUCUCUGAAAUUUUUUUGGUUUUCAUCUACUGCUUACCUUCUGGGACUUCUUUUAUGGUCAUGUCUACCAUUUCGACCGAGUUAAAACCUCCGUCAUCGGUGGCAAUGGUCGAUUGCGUGUCGAGCCCCGACCCUGCUUGUAUCUCCUUGAACAUUGCCAUCACUUGAAUCAUUGUGGGUCGUCUCCAAUGUCGAUCAUCCAAGCAAGCACAAGCUACCUUUAAGUGUUGUAAAAGCUCGAUCUCGAGCAUGGGGUCUUCUUCCAUCAACUCUGGAUCGAAGACAUCACUUAUUUUGAGUUUAGCAUGCUGUUUCACCCAUCCAACAAGAUUGUUAUCGCCAAAAUCGGCUGAAUCCGUAGGCCGUUUUCCCGUUAGUAGCUCGAGUAAAACCACACCGUAACUGUAAACAUCGCCCUUGGUGGAACAUCGGAAGCUCUGGUAGUAUUCAGGAGGAACGUAGCCAGGGGUGCCCGCUAACGUGCUGACACUCAAAUGCGUAUCCACUGCAUUCAUAAGCCUAGCCAUCCCGAAAUCGGAGACCCUGGCUUCCAAGUUCUCAUCAAGUAGGACAUUGCUUGAUUUCAUGUCCCUAUGAAUUAUAUGAGGAAUGCAAUUAUGGUGAAGAAACGCCAGCCCUCUUGCAGCUCCAAUGGCGAUCUUCCUCCUUGCAGCCCAGUUCAGCUUGAUCCCAGCUUUCUUUUGGCCAUGUAGAACAUCCUCUAAGCUUCCAUACAUCAUGUACUCAUAAACUAGAAGCCGUUCUUCACCCACCCUACAGUAACCCAAGAGUGGAACGAGGUUCCGGUGCUUGAUCUUCCCAAUGGUUUCCAUUUCCGCUGUGAAUUCUCGGUCACCUUGUCCACUGAUAUGUAUUAGUUUCUUGAUAGCAACAACACUCCCAUCUUUCAGUUGGGCCUUAUAAACAUCACCGAAACCACCGGAGCCGAUAAGGCUGUCAUUAUGGAAGCCAUUAGUGGCUUCAAGAAGAUCAGCAAAGGUAAGCUUCCGAAGGGGCUUUUCAAAUGUGGCCAAGUUGAUGCUCAAUGCUUCUCGUGCACCAGUUAGCUUCCAGCUGGUAUUCGCGGUGCUGGAGUGGGAAUAACUAUCCAUAUAAACAUCAAGAGCAGAAUCCUGUUUUUCCCUUCUCUUCUUGGUCUCCACAAUAGCUACAAUCACACCAAAGAUGCAGAAAAGAGAGAACAACAAUCCCAUCGCCACACUCCCUGCAAGAGAAGCUUGUUUGCGAUGAGACUUCCGAUGCUCGGAACUCGAAGCAGCCACUGGAUCUCCACAGGGAGGAAGAGGGACCCCACAGAGACCUGCAUUGUUAAAGAAAUCACUAGCCGGAAACGUCUCCAGCUGACCGGUUUCCGGGAUCAUGCCGGAGAGAAGGUUGUUCGACAGAUUAAUCUCACUCAGAAGAGUGAUGCCAGUCAUGGAUUGUGGAAUUGACCCUUCCAAUCUGUUGUAAGAAAGAUCAAGAAUGCCAAGUCCCUUCAAGUUCCCAAUCUCUUGUGGGAUGUUACCAGAGAUAUCGUUGUGGCCCAAAUUCAGGAUAAACAGAUAUGGCAUCGUGCCGAUCUCUUUCGGAAUAGACCCAGACAGAAAAUUGUACGAAAUAUCAAGAAAUAUCAUGGAACCAUUAUUGUCGAAUGUAGGCUGCGUGUGACCUCCAUAGACUCUGUUAAAAUUGCAAGGGUUUCUGCUGGAAAUUCUAUUCAACUGUUCCUGCCUGAUCCCGGCGAACUCGAGCAAAAUCCCGGCCCCGUGGCACUCUUUCCUUCCAUCAUUCUUGAUGUACAUAUACCUCUUCCCAGCAAUAAAAUUGACAGCUAUUUUACCAGAUUGUUUGAACAACACCGGAGGGACAGUCCCAUUCAACUGAUUGGUAUUAAGAUCCAACCAUAUCAAGCUUUGACAAUCACCAAGCUCAGGUGGGAUUCUUCCAUAAAACGAGUUAUUACUGAGCUGCAGAAUUGCAAGGCUUGAAAGUUUGCCAAGCCAAGCAGGUAUCUCACCGGUGAACCGAUUGUUGGAUAAAGAAAUCCAGUUCAACUUGGUGCAGUUGCUUAGACCUGAAGGUAUCGUCCCGGUCAACUCAUUGAAGUCAAGAAUCAAGGUCUCAAGUGUCUGAAUGUUACUUAGCUCUUGAGGGAUUUCACCAUGGAGCUGAUUUAACCACAGCCUCAAAUCCUUAAGCUUGGAGAGAGUACCCAAGCUGUUGGGGAUGCUACCUUCAAGGUAAUUGAAGCUUAAAUGGAGAGAAACAAGCCGAGAACAAUUGCUGAGACUAGCUGGAAUCGAUCCAGUCAAGUAAUUGUUCUGCAAAUACAGAACUUGUAACCUGUUUGUGGGAUUUUCACACAAAGAAACAGGAAUUGGCCCUGAAAAAAUGUUUGAACUGAGAUCUAAGACCUCCAGCUUCAAAAGACUUGACAAAGACACAGGCAAAGGGCCUGAAAAGUGAUUAAAAGCUAAAACAAGCUUCUUCAAGGACCUCAUAUUCUGGAAUAUCUCAAUGGGAAGUUUACCAGUGAAGUUGUUGGUGGAUACAUCGAAAGAUUCCAAAGAAGAACAAGAAGCAAAGCCACUAGGAAUCAUACCAGAAAGAUUGUUUGAAGAAAGAUCCAGCUCCACAAGAGUUGCACAAGCUUCAGUCAGAUACAGAGGAAUCUGCCCUUGAAACUUAUUACCGGCUAAAUAAAGACGUUCCAAUUUGGAUAUUGGUAAACCUGGAAUCCGACCUGAAAACUGGUUGCUCGAUAGAUUCAAGAAGUUUAAGUUCAGACAUGAAGAGAUUUCACGACCAAUGUCACCGGAAAACUUGUUGGCAGACACAUCGAGGUGUUCUAAACUUAAACAGUCACCAAAUGAAGGCGUCCCCAUUGAGAAAUUGUUCCAAGAAACGUCCAAAAACUUGAGUUUUUUGCAGUUGGAGACGUUUAUGUCACCAGUAAUCUUGUUUCCCUUCAAAGCCAAGAGCUUCAAGUCAUUGUAACCACCGUGAAGAAUCCAAGGGACCAAGUUUCCAGCCGACAGCUUGUUGAAAGAAAGAUCGAGAACUUCCAAACUUAGCUGCAAACCCCUGGUUUGUUCUUCACCAGAAGACUCGAGUUUGUUGGUUGAUAAAUUGAGAGACUUCAAAUUUGGGCAAGAACCCAAGGUGGAAAGGGUUGAAAGGGGACCAGACAAGGUGUUUUGAGACAGAUCUAGACUGGUUAACAAGGAGCUACACUUGGAUCCAUAAGGGAAAGAAAUGUUGCCAGAGAUGUUGGCUUUCAACAAAGUAAGGGAUUCCAAGUUUUCCAACGCUAAAAGGAAGGCAGCAACUGAGUGAAAAUCGGUGCUCAAGGAGGUGUCACUGAGUUCAAUAGAGGAAACCUUUGAGUCUUGGCAUGUUACACCAUUGAAGCUACAAGGGUCUUGGUUAGGUACCCAGCUUUGAAGCACAGAUUGGUCAGGCAAGCAAGCUUUGAAGCUGAGCAGUAACUGAGAAUCUUUGUUGUUUAAAGAAGACACCACAAGAACUUCAAAGCAGAUAAGAAAGGUGACGGUGAAGGUGAGAAAGGCAAAUAAAGGUCUCAUAUUUGUAGGGAUGGGUGGAAGUUUUUAACUUGUUUAUUAUAGCAAUGAAAACAAGAGAAACAAAGAGAGGUGUUUAAGGUAUGAGCCUGCCAUAAAAGGAGAGAGCUUUGAGCUCUGGUUUUACAGAAGAGAGAGAGAAAGAGAGAGAAAAGCUGGGUUUUUAUGUUUUCUAUUGGCUUUGAGGGCAAUGGGGUUAGUGAAAGAAAGAGAAAAAUGGAGUCAAAAGAGGAAGUGAAGACAGUAAGAAGGGUAUUUAUCAAAGUGGGGAGGAGUGGAAACAGCCGUUGUUGGCUCACAUGCCAUGUGACCCUCUACUCUUCUGUUUCUCUUAGUUAAAUUAAAUUAAAAUUAAAUAAUGGUUAAUAAAUCUUAGUUCUAAAUCUAACCAAUUUAAAUAAUGGGUUAUAAUAAUAUGUUUGUCUCUCUAGAUUGGUGAUUAAGUGUGGAGCAACCCUUAAUCUCCUACUUCAAAUAAAUCUUCUUUUUAUUUCACUAUCUUUUUUUAUGUUUGUUUCUUUAUAUAAAAAAUCACUAAUCUUUGAUUUGGGUCAUUUUUAUUACUUUCAUAUUUCAUUAAUUAUUAUUAUCAUAUUUAUCAACAAAUAACGAAUUCAAUAUUUUUUUAACUAAGCUCUUCAUUCCAAUCUUAUAACUUCAAAUAAAAAUAUUACUAAAUUCGAAUUCGGCUCAACCAAUAACUCAAAUUGUUUGAAUUUGAGCUCGACUCAUUAAUUACCGAAUUGAGUUUAAUUUUUUUUGAGUCAAACUCGAGCAACUUUCGAACACCGAUGUCUCGUUUACUCCACUAGAAAAAACUAACACAAACCUCGAACAUAAAUUAUAAAACAAAUAUAAAAUAUAUAUAUUCUUUAUGUAACUUAUGGUAUUUGGAAGUUAUAUCAGAAUUAUUUAAAUAUGAAAUUAAACUUCUUUUGACACAAUGCUUAAAAUUAUUUAUAGUUGCCCCAACAUAUAAAUAAUAUAAUAACUUGAGCGCAUUCGAACCCACGUGUUUCUACAUUGAUAAUAAUAUCCGUAUCAAUCAAGUUAAAACUCAAUUAACUUAAUUACACACUUAAGGAUACAUGUUUAACAACUAUUACUUCUUUAAAUUUGCUACUAAACGAGACUGUAAUAUGCAGUGACUUGUAUAAGAUUAAUCUAAACUAUUUAUAUAUUUUUUAAUUAAUAUAGUAAGUUAAUCAAAUAUUAAUUUAGUUGAGAAAAUAUUUUAAAAUAAAUUUUAUUUUAAGUAUAUUUAUAUCUUUAAAUAAUUUUAUAAUUUUUUUAGUUUGGGUGUUAAUUAUUUUGUUUAUAUAAUCAAGUUUCCCUCAUACUUUAUGUGUAUGCCUUAAGUGAGUUUUUGUUGGAUUUUUUUUAUUUUUAUAUGAUUCUUGAUUUGAUAUGUAUUGUAUUGGUUUAAUUCUAAAUUAUAAUUUAUCAGGCAUAUAUUUAUACUUAUUUUAUAUUUAUAUUAGUAAUUUUUUAAAAAUAAAUUACAGAUUUAUUUUUUAAAAUUGAAAAAGAGAGAGGGAGAGAGAGAAAAUUGAGUGCUUGUCUCUCUAGCUUUUGAAGCGUACGUGUGACCAAGUAAUGGAUUAAUCCAUCAAUAUAAUUAAUUGAGAAUCCUAAUCUCUUAAUUCAAUGGAUUACUUUUUUCCUUUUAGGAUUCAUGACUAUUAAUCAAAGUCAUUUUGGCAUUAUGUCCCUUUUUAAGGGGUUUUGCUAAUCAGAAUUUAUUUUUUAAGCUUUAAUUUUAUUAAUAGUUGUUUAUUGAUGUAAAUGUAUUAAAAAUUUUAAAUAAAAGAAUAAACUAUAUCAUUAAUCAUUAAAUUAUGAAUAAGUAUUCAUUUUGGCCACUUAAUUAAAAAAAUUAUAAUUUAAUUAUUAAAAUUUUUAAAAAUUAUUUUUUUUAUCCGACUAUUAAGUGACCAUUUUUUAGCUGAUCCCAAGUGGCAUCAUAGUUACAAAGGUAAGGCUGUAUAUGCCUCAAUUGGUGAUUCAAAUCCUCAUGAAUGUAUUCUCCAUAAUUAAUAUUAUGCAAAAUACUAGCAUCUCUCAUAUGAGCUAUUGCAAGUCUUAUUUCCAUCAACCGAGGUGUUCUAACUCCGUAAAUCUUUUAGGGUUUUUAGCAGAAUCGAGAGACAAUACAUUCACCAUUGAAGAAUUUGUAAACUCCCAAACCCAAACAAAUAAUACUUGGAAAACUUAUCCCAAAAGAGAUUCAAAGUUAGAUUGAUUAUUCAAAUCAUGAUUUGACUUUUGAUUUAGUCAUAGAUUGUAAUUUUUUUAAAAAUAAUCAGCAAAAGUAAAAAGUGGGUAAUCCUGUUACAUUGAAAAAGGGUUAUUAAGUGUAAAACUAAAACAAGGCCAAAACCUCCUCACCUCUCUCUUUCAUGCACUUCCCUUUUUUUCUUCCUUUCAAACGUAACAUGCCAUUCUCCCACUGAUUUUUCCUUUAUAUCGUAUUAAUGAAACUGAAUAAACUAUAAAAGUUGUCACUUUUGUUUGCUUCAGAUUACAUUAUAAUCACUUAUAUUUAAAAUAUUAUGUUUUAAUCACUUACAUUAUCUUUUUGUUACAAGUGGUCAUUAUACCGUUAAACCCCAUUGUCUCCCUAAUGACAUCCUACAUGACAUUCCAAAUGGGUUUUAAAUGUUAAUUUGGAUGUCCAAUUGCUGAAAUGAAAAUAGGUUUUUAAUUAAAUAAAUAUAGUUUGGACUACUGCGUAGGACUUCCAAGUUAGCAUUUAAAACCCAUUUGGACUGCCACAUAAAACCACUGUUAGGGGGUUAACGGAGUUUAACGAUAGAGUGACUACUUCGUAACAAAACAAUAACUUAAGUGACUAAAACGUAACACUUCAAAACAUAAAUAACUAAAAUGUAAUCUGAAAUAAACAGAAAUGGCUAUAUUUAUAGUUUACCAAUGAAAUUAGUUUUAUUGAAAUUUGUUCAGAAUAUUUUAAUUAUUUUUCUUAAUUUAUUCAAUUAAAUUAUUCUCAAUUUCAAACAUCUAAAAUCUCAGUUAUCUAAAAAUAAAUUGAAUUUUUUUUAUUAUCCAUUUGAUAAAGCUAUAUAUAAGUUUACUGUUCUGUAAUUAGAUUUGUACCCUUAAUAUAUUUAUUAAAAAUGAAUGAAAAUAAUAUUCCAAGUGAUUUCAUUCUUUUUUUUUUACUAAAUAAAUUUAUUUCGAAAAAUAUGUUAUCUUAAACUAUUGUUAUUACAAAUUUCGUUAAUAUCACUUUACAUAAUAAAUAAUUAUAUGUUGUUUAUAAUUUUUGAAUAAACGAGAAUUCAACGUUUAUAGUCCUAUAAGAAACCUAGAUUUCAUAAUCACCCAACUCAAAAUUACACAUAUUUUUCAACAUUUUAAUUUCUUAUAAUAUUUUCUAGGUAAUUUUAUCCUUAUAAAAAAUUGAAGGUAAAAGUAUAGUAGAGGUCUUGUACUAGGAGUUGGAUUAUAUUUUUGCCUCCCUCUAUUUAAAAUAUAGGUAAAUUAGUCCAUGUAAAUCAAUUUAAAUAGCAAACUAGUCCUUUGUUUAUCAAAUUAUACUGUUAAAAACUAACUCUUAUACGUUAGCAUGAGAUACAUAUGUUACAAUCUGGUUGUUCUAUCAAUCACAUUGUACAAAUUACUAGAAUUUUUAAUAAAAAAAACCAAAUUACUUUUUCGAUCUAACUAAUUUACUUUUUUUUUUUUGACAAGAAAGGUAAAAUGCAAUUAAAAAGUUUUCUUUUUACAAUGAUAUAAAAAAUUAUUAAAAUUUUAAAUUGUAAUGAUAAAAUAACCUAAUUUAUCUUGUUUCAGUGUUUUUUUUUUGGUUACAUAUUGGAAUUAAGAAACAUAUAUGUAAGUGGCCAAUACAACAAAGAGAUCCACAGUGGCAAUACGGACUAUACACUAAUCUCGGUACUCGUGUACCAGAGAAACGAGCACUGACAAUUAUUUAAUAUUUUCCCUUACAGUAUCUCCCACUCUUCUACCCGGCGCGUUUUCCGGACUAGCAGUUCAGCCCUGUUGUACCGAAGCGCAUGAGAGUAAACAUAAAACGACAAUUCAGAUUAUUUGAAAGACCCUACCGUCUCAUUCCUUAUCUGUCGACUCAAAGUCACCUGACUCAACUCCUCAUCUCGUCCCCCCAUUCUUCAAAUAAUUGGUCCAAGAAAAGAAGAUUAAUAAAAUCCUCCCACAAAUAAUUGGCAUUUCCGUUUCACGCGCUUUACUUCCGGUGGGUUUUGGAUUUUCCUAUUCGUGGAUGUUUAUGUUAUUACUCCCUGUACGAACAACCUCACGAUCUCUCACCCGUUGAUCUUUUUUAAACGGUCAUGAUUUCAUUUAUUACUUUUAAGUGGGACCUUAUUGGGAACAACGCAGUUGCCGUCAUUCGUGUCUCUAUCAGUAAAUCUAACCUACUCUUACAGUUUAAUCUUUAUAUCACGAAUAUACCCUUUAUAUAUGAAGAAUGUUAAGGGGCAUUACAGUAAUAUCUUCAUUUUGCGGGUUUUUACCUUUUACCAGUUAUAGGUACGGUAUGAUAUCGACUAAACUCAUCAGUGUUUUUUACUUAAAUCGCUACUUUAUCAAAUUUCAUUUUUAUAUUAAUUUCAAUUUAAAAAAUAUAUUAAUUUUUUAUUUUAUUAAAAUUAUUUUUAAUUAAUCUAUUUUUAUAAAUUAAUUGUAUUCAUUAAAUUAGACCGUUAAGCCUUUUUUUUUCAAAAUUUUUUUAUUAAAAUCCAAAAAGGCAAAGCGAAAAAACCUUGCUUUAAAGGUUUAAUAAUGGUGGGGUUGAAAAAUUAAAUGUGCUACUGUCUUUUGUCUAGGAGGCAUGUUUUUCGAUUGGGUUUGAAAAUAGGUAAAUUGCAGAUCAGAUGUUGUUCAGCCCAGAUGUAUAAUUUAUUUUAACCAAAAUACUGUUUUUUUUUUCAAUUUUAUGUGAUUUCUUUCAGAAAAAGAAUUUUAACUAUAAAAUUAUGAGUAAUAUAUAGAAUAUUUAAUUUGAAAAAAAAAUAACUCUCAAUUUUUCUUCAGCUUUUUAUUAUUGAUCACAUUUUUUCUAUCGAUAAUCAUUCAUUUUUCUCCCUUUAUUAGUUAUUUAUACAUUUAAAUUUAAUCUAAAAAAAUUAGUAUUUGGCACAUCGAUAAUGUAUUUUUUUUAUUUCACAAGUAAUUUUAAAAAUUUUACAACUUGCUUUUUAAAAUUUUACUAUAUAUCUAUAGAACACUUGUCAACCAAUAAAAAUCUAUUGCUUUAUUAAAAUAAGGAGCCUUUAAUAAAUUUUCCACAGAGUUGGGACUCAUUUGUAGGGUGCCACCAACUUGAUAAAAAUCUUAAAUAUUAGUAUAUAUGAAAGAAUAAAGGUAUUAUGUGAACAAUUAAAAGGAAAAAAAAAUUAUCAAUUAGUGUUGGGUACAAAUGUAAAAUACAUUGUACUCUUAAGAGGAGAGUGUAGAUUCGAGCAUUAGAGACGAUAUUAUUGCGAGGAGCAAAUAUAAACCUUAACUAUGGACUAUAUAUAAAAUGGAUAUAUAUACUAUAGCAUUUUAAAGUUACAAAAAGGGAAAAAAAUUCUUAUAUGGCGAGCUUAUAAUUUGUCAUUUGUCACUAUAUUAUUCUAUCAUGUGUAAUUGUUUAUUAUAUUUUUAAAAAAUAAUUUCAUCGGUUAACCAAAUAUCUAAAAUUUAUAUAUUUUUAUCUUUUGGUUAAAAUAAGUAUAAAACAUAUAAAAUAAUAAAAUACUAAUGUUCAUUUUCUUUUAUUUAAUAAUUCAAAAAACUUUAAAUGAAUGUUAAAACAAUAAAUAAGACAUUAGAAACGCUACAUAUAUUAAAUAUUUAUAUAUUGGGGGUGAGCUAUAUAUAUACACACUAUAUAAUGUAUAUUAUAUAUUUCGAUUAACUACCCGAUUUCAAACAGAAUCAAUCGAUAGUCGAAACUCCAAAAAAUCAUUAACCAGCCUUCAACCGAUUAAUCGAAUUAAAUUAGUUCAAUCAGUUUAUUCGAUUUUAACCACACUGCAAACACCUUUACUAGAUUCCUUGCUUCUUAUUUUUUUAGAAAAAAAUAUUUUUGUAAUGGGCCAAUUUAGCCCGGGCCCACGUUAGAACCAAAACCCAAAAUAAAUACCAAAUUAUUAAACCAAAAGUCCAAAGAAUAAAACCAAACUAAUAGUCUGUCAUAAAGGUCCAAAUAUUACAACCAAUAUUGAUACCCAAUGCCCCAUAGCCCAAAUACAACGGCCCAAUAACUGGAACAGACCCCAACGGACCCAAAAAUUGAGCCAAGUUUCGGCAAACCCUAAGUCACCCCUCUCUCCUGCGCCGCAACAGCAACUGGGCAAUAGACCCAUACCUCCACUACAGCAGUCCCAUACCUCCACAGCCCUCGUACGCCACGCCCCCACCCCGUGCGCAUGCCUACAGACUCUGUACCUGCAAGAAAGAAACAAAAACAGCAGCGAAUGGAAACAAAUAUAUUGUAUAUUUUCGGUUGAUUUCCUUUUUCGACUAUAAAAGCCCAGCUUUUAAUCUUUGUAAAAGGGGGGGCAUAUUUUUUACGAACGAAUACACAAUAGGCAAUACAAAAAAAGCAAUAUUGGAAGGUGAUUUCUCCGAUCUAAAUCUCUUGGGCUUUCUCUUUGUGAUUAUUUUCUUGCUUUUUUUUAUUUCGAGAGUAAAUAAAAGAAAAGGGGAACACGAACACAGACGCACACAGAAUAUACACGCACAGAAAUAUAAAAAAAAAGCAAUUAAGAAUUUGCAAGGGUAAUCUCAAGUUUUCUUUCGUUCUUUCUUUUUUUUUUCUUUUUUUGUUUGGUUUAGAUCGUCUUUUAGUAGGUAAAUCGACUCCAAUGAGAUCCCGAAUACUUUAAGAUACAAAAGUAGGGGAGAGGGGUCAAGUGGUGUUGAAUCUCUAUUUUAUGAACUUUCUUCGUUUUUUUAAAAAUGUAUGAGAUUUGAAGUUUUAUUUUUUCUCAAGUAAAAAAGAAAAUACUUACUAAUUUCCUCAAGGCAUGGUCGAAUACUUACAGCAACAGAAUCAGGAAUUGUUUUGCGCGCCGCUGGACACCAAAUCGAUAGAGAUUCAGCCGCUUGUAAAAGGAACCCUAGCAAAUUUAAUUUCAAGGCUGCUGGUUUUUGUUAAAAUGGAUGGGUAUUUGAAAGGAAAGGAAGGGAAAAAUGGUUUAAAAUG
rnacentral:lncRNA from 1 species